rnacentral:lncRNA from 1 species
CUCCUACUAGGGCGAUAGAUCUGACGACAAAAGCCGAUCGUCCCUAGAAGAAGCUCAAAAGUCAUUCCUGCAAAAAAAAAAAAAAAAAAACAAAAAAAACAAAACAACACAAAAAAAACAAAACAAAACAAAACAGAAUUAAAAAAAGCAAAACAAAAAAAAAACACACACACAAAAAAAGAGAAAAAAGAGAAAGGGAGAAGAAAAGUUUUCUAUACCUUUCUGCUGAUUGGAUGAGGUAUAAGUGAGUAGGGUGUGAGUCUAUUUAUAAGUCCAACAAAUCCAAUUUUUAAAAGGAUUAGGAAUGAUAUUUAAUUAUUUUUUUUAAAAAAAAAACAAAUCCAAUUCCUAAAAGGAAUAGGAUUGAUUUUAAAUAUAUAUAUAUAUAUAUAAAGAAAAGAUAAUCCAAUUAUCUUAUUUUAUUUUAAAUUAUUUCUUUUUUUUUUGUUGGAUAAAUCUCAAGUUUAACUUUUAUUGAGAUAUUUAAAAUAUUUAAAAAUUUCAACAUUUAAAAAUAUAUAUAUAUAGAUAAAUAUUCUCAAUUUCAAAAUUCAAGUUAAAUUAACUUGCAUAUAUGACCUCAUUUUUAUCAUGAAUUUAAAUCGGAGCAUAAAUCCAACUUUACCUAAGAUUGAGGACCUGAUUUUUUAUCUCAAAUUAAAAUUGGUCAUUCCAAAUUCUUAUGCAUCCCCAAGAUAAAUUAAGGUACGGUAGAAACUUUAUCCUUAUUUCAAAAUUAAAAUUUUGGUUAUAUUCCAAAUUUUACUUAAAAAAAAUCAUCAUAUUAAAAAUUUUUUUUAUCCUCAAAUAAAAUUAAGUUAGGAAUAAAACUUUGAAUUUUUUUAAGGUUUGGCCAUAUUCCAACCCUUAUUUUAAAUUGAAAUCAAACUCACGUACUAAAUUCAAGUUUGAUUAAUUUGAUAUAUUGAAUUGAGUAAAAAAAAAAAAAAAAAAGAAGCUCGUACUUUGACUUCAAAUUUAUCUUUUCGAGAUUCAUUCACCCAUAUACGUGCAUAAAUCUCGAAAAGGGGGCAUUUGUUGAAUAAGAAAUUUUGAGACUAAUCACUAGUUGCCAUAUCAUUUAUUAAGUUAAUGAUGAAAAGUACAAAUAAUUAAAUUUGGGACUAAUUAAAAUUGACAUAUGCUCCAAAUUAAAGAGUUGAAAAUAAAUAAAAUGGUCAUUCUAAUAAUGCCACAUGUUUUCAUAUUAAUAGUUGGAUUAAGUUAAUCAUUUUAGUUCAAUUAAAUAUUAUUUACUUGGACUAAGUUCAAUUAAGCCCAAAAAAUAAGCUUAAUUGAACCCAAAGACUAAAUAUAACCUAAGUCCAUAUGGUUGAGCCCAUGGGUCUGGUCCAUGGACCAACCAGGUUCAAACCCAUAAAGCCCACCAGUGAAAUCUAUAAAUAGAGGAAUUCUCCUCAUUUGUAGGGGUUGGAAAUUUUGACUCUAGAAGAUCCAGAGAGAAUUCUUCAAAGAGCUAGAAGACUCCCUAACUCCUGAAGUCGACCAUCCUCGAAGAUUGAAGCUUCUUUAAAGAUACAAGCUUUCUUCAAGGCUUCAACUUCAAGAACAUCACGUGCUUCGCUUCCUCAAAUCAAGCUGAAGCAUCCAGUUGAGAGAGAAUCAGAGGAUCAAAUUCUAGAGAUUGAACCGCAUCGCAUCAAAUCAACAAAAUACAACAUCAAACUCAAGUUCAAGUCCACGAAUUAAAUUCUCCGAAAAUCUCGUGCGAACACAUAUAUUUCUAAAUAAAUUUAUUCGACGAAAGUGGCUAGAUUGGUGGGUUCGACGGCGAAGGCUUGUUGUGGCAGCAACGACAACAGUGGUUGGAGUGUGGAAUCGACGACGACAAGUGGCAAAAAAUUGGAAGGCAAGGGUUCUUCAUAACGACUCGGUAGCCCACUUCGUUCGACGAGAUUUUUUUGCAUUUUUGGUAGAGUGAGAAAAAAUUGCAUUAAGACUUCAUUCGACGACAUCGUUUUUGCUUAAGAGAAAAUUUGAUGUUUUUACUUAGUUGUAAUUGCGUGAGAGAGGGAAAUUAAAAAAUUUUGAAAUUUGAGGUUUUUUCAUUUGAAAUUUUUUUUAAUGACAAAAAAAUUGUCGUUAAUUAAUGACCCAAAAAUUGUGUGAAAUAAAUUAAAUUGUGUCAAUAGAAUUGUUUUAAGAAAUAAUCCAUAUUUUUAUUUUCAACAACACAUGUACCUCAUCCACCUCUUUUUUCUUUUAUUUUCAACGACACAAUGUCUUGAUUAAAAUCCAUUUUUCUAGUGACAAAUGUAUCCAUACCAAAGUGGGAAGCAGCUAAGGGGACGAAGGUAUAUUCGGAGAGAGAUUGUUAAACAAUUGUAAAAAGUAAGCCCAAGAAGAGAGGUCCAAUAAAAUUCAGCCACCUCUCACAUAGUAAUUGAAAUAGUCUAGCAAUUUCAACCAUUUCCCUCACAGAGAAGAAGAAGACCAUAGCCACUCGAGGCUUUUGCACAUACAAACACCAAGAAGAUGGUGUCCGGUUCCGUACCUGUGCUAAGCGCGUCGUUGUUGACAUAAAGUUUCUAUAUACAAAGCUAUGUAUCUCUACCCUUGACUUCUCUUUCUCUCUUUCUACCUUUUUUAUCCUUUCUUUCUCCCAUUCACUCAAUACACUUGCAAGAACCUUCAUUUUUUUUGUAUUUAAAUUUUCUUGGCACCAUCCUUUUUUAAUUAUCAAGGCUUUGUUAUUGUGUACCUGUAUUGUGUCGUGCCUCCUUCACUUCUCAUCAUCAUUUUCAUGUCACAUCUCUACCUUGUCAAUUUUCGUUUUUCACUCAGCUUUCUUUCUUCAUUUGUCUUCACUACUCUCUUCGCUCCUUCUUCUCAAGCUCUAACUUUUGCUAUUAUUAACCAGUCUCAAAUGACCAUUGGAAAACCUAUAGCCCACUGAGAGGCAGCCAAUAUAGUAAUGCCUCUAAUGAUAAACUCCAAUGAAAUCAAAAGUUCUUCUUUGAGAUUUGGAAAAAUAUAUUAGAUAAAGCAUAAUUAGUUGAAAAAGAACCUUAAAAUUUUGUGUUAAACGACUACAAUUUCAUCGUAGAAUAUGCCAUAUUGACAGCAUAUUUUUCCUACAAAAACAUAUUAACUAAAAUAAGCUCAUAAACACGAAAAUGCACUAAGUGUUGGUUAACAUACACUACCUUGAAAUAUGAUGAAGACUUUAUUUCUCCCAACCAGACAGCAUAAUCAGGAGGUAGUUUGGGAGCAAACAGAAUUGACUUAAUUUCCACUAGCAAUAUCCUAUAAAAAUUUCAAAUUCUUGAAAUAUGGAAACCAAUGGAAGUUUUAGGGAAUGAAGUAUAACCUCUAAAUACAGAAGGACGACAUAAAGGGGAAUGAAGACUCGAAAGAAGGACGACGUUUUCGUAGAGAAGGACGACAAUUUUGAGGGACAACGGACACGAUUUCAGAGUAUUAGGGAUGGUAGAUGGCGAAAGUCUUAGGGAUCUCGUACUCAGUGGAUGGUGAACGACUGAAAGCGAAGGACCUAGUACGCAUUUUUGGAGAGGGCGUGUGAACGCGGAUGGACGGACGGUGAACACGGCAGAAGUGAGAGAUCCUCAUAGAGAACUUGGCAUUUUCGAAUGCGGUAGAGACAAGUCUAGGGCUUCGAAGGAUUCAACCCAAUAUUUUCUUUAUAUAUAUAUAUAUAUAUAUAAUAUAUAUUUAAUAACACUUGACGUUUUUAAAACGUAAAGAAAAACGAUUUUACUUGACGUCUAAAAAACAUCAAGAAAUUUAAAAAAUAACUCUUCUCCGGCUUUUUAUAAAAAUUCUUGACGUUUUAAAACAUAAAGAAUUUUUAAGAUAUUUCUUGACGUUUUUAAAAUGUCAAGUAAAAGUACAUAUUACUUGACGUUUGAAAAUUUUGAAGAAUGUUGAAUAUAUAAACAUUCUUGACGUUUUUAAAACGUCAAGAAAAAAUACAUAUUAGUUGAUGUUUAAUAAACGUCAAGAAAUCUGAAAAUUGACCUACCCUCGCCUUUUCUAAAAAUUCUUGACGUUUUAUCUUUGGAACUACCCCUUUCUUGACGUUUUUUGAAAAAAAAUGUCAAGAAAGAAAAACAACAAACGUCAAGAAAGGCCUUUUUUGUAGUAAUGACAUACAAUAUAUAUAUAUACAUAAAUAAAUAAAUAAAUAUAUAUAUAUAUAUAAUGAAUUAAAAUGGUUUUGUUGCUUUACUGUUUUACUCUAUAAAGGAAGAGCAUUAUAAAUAUAUUAUUGAGGAAACAUCUUUCGAAAUGACUGGUUUUGGAAGUGUCAUUAGAUUUUUAGUUAGUUAAGCACAUUUUCCUCCCAAAUAGUAGUCGAAAUACAACUGUUUUUUAAGAAGAAGAAACCGAAUCCUUCAAACUAGGAUAAAAGUCAUUAUCUAUUAACAUAGAGUUAAAGUUACAAGGUUGAAGGCUAGAGGGAAGCCUGAAACAACCUAAUCUAACAAAGCUUAAAGUUAAGAGUUGGUAGUAACAUCAUAUUAGUUACAAGAUGAAUGACGCCUAGACCAAACUUCGAUCAAGUUACAUGUGUCUUCCCACAAGUUAACAAUAAACCUUGAUUUAUCCUUAAAAAUUCUAUUGUUUCUUUCUAUCCAAACAAUCCAAAGUAAGCCAGUUAUGGAGGAGGAAUACACAUUAGAGAGCUCAAUUAUGGAUGGAGGAAUACACAACUUUUUCUCGUGGUCAUUUUCCUCGUGGGCAUUCUCUUCAUGUUUCUUCUUAUUCCGACUAAAAUACAAGCACAAAUUAUUCUUCGCCUUCGUAUAGGUUUGUUUGAAGAAGAUUAAAAAAGUCCUUAAUUUAUCUCGACACUUCCAAAACCAGAAUAUAAUACCCGUGCUACAUAAAUCCCUCUUUCCAAAUAGUCGAACAUGAACUAUCCAUGCAUAUCUUGGAAUAAACAAGAGAAACCCUAACUAAACGCAAAUAGAAAAUACGUUGCAAUCUAAAAUAUAGUUAAAGAAACAAAAAGAAGUUUUAAUGUUGUGGGUUUUUUACUGAUCUUCUUCAACAACAAAAUAACUCAACGCCACAGUUCAAUUUUUCCUUCCACGAAUUGGGUUUUUAAAGAGUUUUCACCGCGAAUAAAUUUUUUUUGGUUCGACAAGUAACAACAUGUGAAUCCCCAAAUGCAAGGUUUUAUUAAAAAUUAAAAAUAUAAUUUUUUAAAAAAAUUAUAAUACCUAAAAAUAUAUUUUUUUUAUAUUUAUAACCUAAUUUUCUGUCAUUGCAUACUUGAGAGAAAUAUAUUUUUCAAUUAGCAUAAUAACCUUUAUAUAGUAAAUUAAAUUUGUAGAAUGAGAAAAGACCUUAGAUCCAAAAAAGUUAUUUAUUUAUUAUUGGAGUGAAUUGUAUAAUUAAUGUAGUUAAUGGAUGGUUUUGUAACCAUAAAAAAAUAAUGAAAAUAAUUUUCUAAAAGAAUGAAUGAAAAUUUGGAAAGUUAAAAGGUUUUAGGAAUUAAAAAAAAGGGUGUAACAUUAUAAAAGACUACCAAAUAUACUGUAAGAGACAUGCAUUAAAGGAGCUGAGUGUCACGUGUGAAAUUUUGACCCCAAAAAUCACCCCCAAAAUUGCGCUAAUUCAUGCCACGACUCCUUCAGCAAGGCCCAGGAGCAGCCCAACGUGGUCCUAAGACAGCCUAAGGGCGACCACGACAUGUGCCUACGGCAUUGGCAUGCACCUCUCGAGGACAGCUCACAAGCCCCGCACGCGUGCCACGACGAGUGCCCAUGACAGCCGAGUGUCAGCCCACGACACAGCCCCAUAGCACGCCAGAUGCCCGUUGACACGGCCAUAGGCGCCCGGCACCAGCGCCCACCAUCGACCCAGCGCGCGCCGUGUCCGCCCAACGUCCAGACGGCCCCAGAACCUCCGAGAAGCUUCCAGAAGAAUCGGGAAGGCGCGCAACACUUCGCGUGGCGCGCACGGCGCGAACCCAACGCGCGCGCCGACGCCCCCAGAUGCUUCCAGAAGGCUCCACACAUGCCCAUGUGUGUGCUGCCCGCCCAUGCUCAGUCUAGACAACCCCAGAAGCCUCUAGAACGUUCGAGACAGUGCCAGAAUGUGCUGGAAUGCGCGGAGGCUCCCGAGAAGGCCCCGGAACGUGCUGGAUGAUGCUGGAACGUGCUGGAACACUCUAGAAGGCUAUAUGACGGUCAGCGAGUGUCAUGAAAGGUCUAGUCCUCUCUAGAAUGUUCUAGGCUUCCUUGUUAUGUACCAAAUGAACUUGUAAUCUCUAGAAUCUCCCUUGGCCGACCUUCUAAGGCCCAAGGUCGGUGGGGAUGGUCUAUAAAUACUUGGGAGGGCCUCAUUUGUAUCAAGCCUUGCAACCUUGCAUCUUGGCAUGUCUUAGCCAAGCAAGGUCACCUUGCCACCCAAAGUCUCCUUGCCCAUGGUAUCCCCAUGACAAGAAGACAGCAUAUUUGUACCCAAAUAUGUAUUCAUCUAUUGUUGGAAUGCAAUGUAUCAUUCCAAAGACGUAUCCAUCCAAACUCCCUCAUCCUUCCAACCUCUCUCAUGUCUUGCAACCAACCUUAGUACUUCCGCUGCAACCGUUGUCGUAGUGCUUGGCACACUACCCCUUCCGGGAAAGGCUUACUUGGCUACGUGGGCAUUGUAGUUAGCCAAGUGCCGCAUGUAUGGUUAGCUUCAAGAUCCUAACCACGUGACAUGAGGCAUGCAUACUACCAAAUAUACUAUAAAUAAACCAUAAUUCUUUUUUAAGAAAUUAAACAACUAAUUAAAUAUAAAGAAGAAAGAUUAGAAAAUGAAUGAUCAAACAAACUAUGACUCAUUUAUUUUUGACAGGUUCGGCCAGUAUCACCUGACAAUUCAUUUUCACCAAGAGAAUAAACAUGAGUAGCCUUGGAAUCAAGUUCCUCCGAUAAAAGCCACGGAGUUGAUGGGUUAGAGACAGAACCAGAAUUUGAGUUCAACGAUGUGGAUGGAAAAUUCUGAAACUAGGAGCAACAGGAAGUUAAGACAACGAAUUAUUUUCAAUAUAGAAAGGCUAAUUGUAAGAAGUUGUUAAUGAAGUGUCCAAAUGCAUUAUGGUAAUAUUGGGUGCAGAAUGUUUGGAAGUUUUAUCCGUGUGCUGUGAAGCACCACAGAGUUGAAGCAUAUGAAACCAGUGUUUAUCUGACAAAAAAUAGUGUCAUGAUCAUUGCCUUUCCAUUCCAUAAAUUUAUGGAUAGCAGAAGAAAGAGAACUCUCAACACUUGAAUCACCAUAUAGCACUCUACAUCCAGGUGGUGCCUUGAUUUUUGAAGAUUUAGUUAAAAGCAGUGAUAAAAUUGGUACAUAAAUUACAGUGCAUUUCUCGAUAUGCAACAACAUUAAGAGCAACUUAAAGACAACAUCAUCAAGAAAUCUAGUAUUUAAAAUGUACAAAGAGCAGUAGUAAACAUAUGUAUUUUAUGGCUGACUUUAUCCAUAAUAAAUGUUGGAUUAAAUCAUCAAAAUAAAACACAAACAGAUAAUUAUCGAGUUUUUCAAUGGAGGAUAGAGAGGAAGACAUGCAUGCACAACUACUAGAUCUAUAUGGUGCCAGACUGCCAGUAAAAAUUUAAAGACACACAUGACAACAUUAUUUUGGAUGAAGUUCUAAUAUUGCAACCAUGGAGGAAAAAUCAGCAAAUCUUAAAUAGAUGUAGUAGUCCAAAUGAUAAAAGUUUGUCUCAAGAUAAUAUUUCAGUAACUGCAGAUGCAUUGUGUUGAACCUAACCUCUUGUGUUUCACGGUAAUGAACAAGGACAAUGUGUUCAAAGGUCCUGAACAAAAAGCAGAAGCAAGUCAUAAAUUAUAUAAGUAGAACACGAUAUACUGCCACUUCUAAUUUCAUUUUUCUUUGCUUGUGGCAUGAUGGGGAUAGACCCCACUGAAACAACUGGUAGCAAGCAAUUUAACAAUUUUCUUUCAACCAUAACAUACUUAUCUAGGAGCCAAUAACACCGGCGAACAAAGGUUGGGCUAUCUAGUCCAUGGGCAUAGUAUACAUGUAUCCUUUCUACAUUACCAACCUGCCGAAGAGAAAGAAAAGAUUAUCAAAGCACACCUUUUCUUGGUUAUUAAGGCUGUAAAAGAAUGAAAAUUACCAUAAAUCUAAACACAGUUAAUAUUAGACCAUUGAACAACCUAUAGAUUCAAAAGGAAAGACUCAAACCACCAAUAGACUGGUUAAUCAUUUAAAAUGAUCUCCAACAACAUGAUACGCAGUAUAUCGUGCUAGAUCCAUAAUUACCACAUGUGGACUCCUAUGGUAAUUUCAUUGAUGAUACGCAGCUAGUAGGCAAGAUUAUGAAAUGAAGACGGUAUGUGAGAAGAUUGAAAAGAUCAACAUGAUAAAAUUAUAGGGAUUUGAAUUUAUAUCUUAAGAACACCAGAGUCAAAUGCUUAAGCUGAUUAACUGUGUUAAAUUUAACUCUAUAAUAUAUUUUAAAUCUGAACAGUCAUUAAACAACUACAUUUUGAAUAAGCUUUAGAGAAUAUUAGCAAAAACAGUAGAAAUUACUUCAAAUUUGUAGAGAGAACAUAUAAAUUAUAUUCUACAGAAACACGAGCCCAUAGCAUGUCUACUGAGUAGCAAUGACAGUGAAAAAGGGAAUAGUAAGUAACUAAUCUCAUAAACCCCUUUCUCACAUCUAACCAAGUUCUUUCAUGACAUGCAAAAGCAUCAAAAUAUUUAAGAAAACUUCCAAUAUUGCAUUUGGAACUCAUUGAUUGACUUCAACGUUUAAGAGUCAUAAAAGACACAACUUACUUUCUCACCUGUCACCACUAAGCCUACGGCAACAUCUUUUUAUAAGAUAUUCAGCUAAUCUUUAGAUUGUUUACCGAAUAAUCGUCUAUUGUUUUGUAAUUGAUCCCACCAAGCGCUUGCGCCACCUUGAAGUUUGAGAGCAACUAAUCGAACCUUCUUGUGUUCGUGGUGUAUUGGCAUAGUCGAAAAAAUUUCUACGUUCUUGAUCCAAUCAAGAAACUUCUCCACGUCCAUUCGACCAUUGAAGGUAGGGAGAUCCACUUUCAUACGUAUUUCUUGAUCUUCUUGAAAGUAUGGUCGAAGUCCAAGCCUUUGUUGAGGUUCUUGAUGAAUGUUCAGCAAGUUGUCUUCAUCGGAAGAGUCAGAAUCAUUUAAGAAAUUUCAGGUACGUUGUUUCCAUACAAUCGAUUAUUGUGGAUGUGAAUAGGUUGAUUUCUUAGUAGUUCUUAGUUUACAACAGGGUUUAUUGGUCUUUCUUGUCUUUCUUGGUUUGCUGCAAUUGGGUUUCUUGGGGCUGAAUUGCUUCUUCUAAAGGUUGGACAUGAAAUCGGGUAAAAAGGUUUGUUAAUUCUACUAACGAUUGCUGUAUAUCUGACUGCCCUUUUCGAAGUUCUUCAAUAGCUUGUUCUACCAACUGCAAGCGUUGGUUGAAGGAGGCUUCCGCGUCCAUGGAUAAGAGUGGUAGGAUCCAAGUUUUUUUAGGGAAGAGUGAGCUAGGAUCACGCUCUGAUACCAAUUGAUUCAGUAAUUGCAAAGCUAGAAAUCUUUAUGUAUAAUGCCUCUUUUUUUUUAUGUCUUAUUAAUGAAAAUGAGAAGCUUUUUUAUAGGCUGGAGAUUAUAAGAGUUGUUAAACUAACUUGGGGUUGAGUUAGUUAACUUGGAGUUGAGUUAGUUAUAACUAACUCAAGAUACAAAAUUGGUAAUUCAAAUAACUAAUCCUAAACUAUAAAAAUGGUAAUUCAAACCCCUCCUCUAGGAUAAAACUCAAGAAACAUCAAGAAGGGAGAUGUUCUACAUCAAAGUGUAGAGAACGAUUCAAAAUCCUUGGUGAAAGAAAUGAAUGUUAACUAAUGUGUGUUUAUGUGAAAUUGUUCAAUGAGUAUGUUAAGGAUAAAGAAAGGUUUAUGCGAGAUAAAAUUAUUUGAUGUUGUUUAUGCGAAAUGAUGUUUAUGAAAAGGUAUUGCGAAAAGGAUUUCAUAAAACCUUAGUCUUUUAGACAUUCUUUCAAAAAUUCAUCUUCCAAGAUGAGGUGUUUAGGCCAAGUAGAGAAGAAGGUUGAAGGAUUUGCAGCGAGAUGACCAGACGUUUUGAAAAUAGUUAAGCAUUGGUUGUUUGGUCAAAGUGUUGUAAUUAUGUAUCAAACACAUGUUAUUAAUAAACAUCUUGGUAGGUAUUUAUUAUACUUGCACGCCUACUCUCACAUUUAGCCAUAUGUUGUACUUUGUUUUCCACCUUGACUUUUAAUGACACACAAACCAACUUUCCAAGGAAUUCCCUUUCAUUUUCCUAUUAACUCAUAUUCUCUUUUUUUAUCAAGUCCUUGAUAGAGAAAGUGGACUUUGAGUUGUUGGACUUUAGUAUUGCAUGGACAUACAAUUUUGAAUGAAAAAUCCUUAUAAAUGGGGCCUUUUAACUCAUUUGAUGGGUUGGCUAUUGAAUUUGGGCUUUCAUACCAAAUGGAAUUUUUUUUCUUAUUUACUUAAAGAAAAAAAAAAAAAAUUUACCACGCCCAUUUUUUUUCAUCUAUUUCUUUCGUCCGGUUCUUUCAUCCAACGAGUCCCACAACUCGAUUAUGAGUCUAGAAGUACUAAGUCAAACUUAGUGGUUGUUCGAAUAAAACGCAACUUCAAAUGUAAGUAUUCUAAAAACCUUAUUUUUUGGUUUAGUCUCGUUAAUUAAGCCCAAUUAGGGUAGAAUUUCGAUUCUUUUUCUGUUGUGCAUGUCUUAGUUCUAUCAGUAACUCCCUUCAGGGUGAUAACUCUCAUCAGCAGACUUUCCAUUACUGGUUUCUUCCUUAGUCAUCAUUAUAUUGUUGUUUUCCACAAUAGAUAGGGUGAGUUGCAGUUUUACAUGAAAUGCUCUGCUCACCCACACUCUUUUCUCACUAGUUCCUUAUUCUCAAUCUUCAACGCAAAUUUCAUCAUCUGGGCCAACCCAAUCGGUUCCACAGUUUCCACUUCCAUUUUUAUUCAUGGGCUAAGCCCAAUCAUCAAAGUCUCCUCUAACACUACCGUUUGAAGAAAUGCUACUAGAGCUAAAUAUCGAUCAAAUCGGUUGCGGUAUUCUUCUAAUCAUUUUCUGUUUGAUUGAGAAAAAUCUUCCAACCAAAGUUCCUUCUCGAAUUGAUCGAAACUGUACAAGCAUUCGUUCUUUCAGGUCAGCCCAAUUCUUAAAAACUUCCAACUCUUCUUGUGCUUGGUACCAAUCCAAUGCCAGAUCAUCAAAACUAAUAACGCUGUGGUUAAUUUCUCUGAAUCAGUAAGAUCAUGUAUCUUAAAGAAGCGAUAGGCUCUAAAUUGAGACCCAUUUCUAAUUUGAGUAAUGAAGUAAAUUUGGCUAGGUAUUAAGAAUUUGGCGUUUGAAUAAAUCCACGAAAAGGAUUAAGCGAUAAAAAAAUUUAUGGUUAAGUAUACGUUAUUGCGAUUCAGUGGGUAGUUCGCGAAGGAAGUUGUGCGACCCAUUUCUAAUUCGAGUAAGGAAGUAAAAUUCGGCUAAGAAUUAAGAAGUUGGUGUUCAAAUAAAUCCAUGGAAAGAUUAAGUGAUAAGAUCUUUUACGGUUAAGUAUACUUUUUUGCGAUAAGUGGUAGUUCGCGAAAGAAGUUGUGCGAUAAGAAGCGAAAAAGUCUUUGCGUAAGUUAGAAAUGAAAGUUUUGAGUGUUAGACUAGGAGUUUUGGGUGGUCUUCGCGAGAAGAACCAAGUGUUUCGUGGAGAAGAAGUCUACGAGGAAGCCUUGGAGUUUAAGUUCGUGAUAAGAGUUUUAUGCGAGUAAAAGUUGGUUAGUUCAUGUGGAACGUUUCUUAUAAUAAAAAUAUAAUCAAGCGAUAAGGUUAUUCACGAGAAAUGUUAAGUGGUUGAAUUUAUUCACGGUUUGGGUUAGGCGGGAGCAAGGUUUGUAAAGAAAAUGUCAAAUCUGAUUUGACAUGGGUUAACAUGUAAGAUUAAGGAUUUGAGCAUGACUAGGUUAAAUAUUAAGGAUUUGCAUGACUAAGUUAGUAUAAGGGAUCUAUAAAAUAGGAGAAUUUAGGUAACUAAGGAGGGGAUGACGAGAGUUUUGUUGAAAUGCUAAAGUGUUGUUGGUUUAGCCACGAAAAGAUGGUUGUGAGAAGGACUUCUUUAGUAAAUUUUGGUGAGUGCUUUUCAGUCAAAAGAAUUUAUGUUAAGAAACUUUAUUACGAUUUCUCUUUACUGAUUGAAAGAAGAAUUCAGAUGAGAAUGUUUCAGAAAGAUUUCUAUGAAAAGUUAUGUUCAAGCAUUAUUAUAAUGUUAAAGCUUGAUUUGAUGACUAUGAUUUCAAUAUUAUGUUUCUUUGAGAUGAUGCUAACUUUUGUGUGCACAUAAAGAGUGAAGGCACUAUGGAGUGUACGAACUACAUGGUAAUAAGAAGCUGACUUAUGCAUUGAAAUGAGCGUAUAAAGCUUAGCGGAUGACAACAAAGACGAAUUUGUAUGUUCUCAGAUGUUGAUACAGUAGUCUAAACGCGAGGUAAUGACACCAGCGUAGAGAAUGAUUCGGGAUCCUUGACAAAUGAAAUGAUUUUUUAAGCAUAAAGAAAGGUUUAUUCGAAAUGAAAUAAUUUUUCGGUAUAUUUAAAUGAUUUGAUAUUAUUUUACAAAAUGAUUAUGAAAAGGUAUUGUGAAAGGUUUUCAUAAAACCUUAAAGGAUUUAAAAAAAAAGUGGACCAUUCAACUUAAUUCCCAUCCACUAUCCUCUUGUCCAACAUGAAACUUUAUCUUAGUAAAACUUCUUGAUCCACUAUUUUACAAAAAUAUUCAAAACAAUACCAUACUACACCAAAUGUGAUAUUUUGGUAACACUAUAAAAUGGUCAGAAAUACCAUUUUCCUGACUUUUUUUUCAUCGACCAUUAAAGAAAAAGUAUAGAUGAUGUUUCAAAAACUUCCAAACCAUUGUGUUAGUUAUCGUUUUAGAUGAGGGUUGGGGUAGAGCAUCAAUACUAAAGGUUGUUAAGGAUUAAGAACUAAGACUUGAAAACAAAACCGCCUGCCUGGUUGACAACAACACCAUCCCACUAGAGUGCACAAUGAUUAUUAUUGCAUUAAGAAGAAGAUGGCAGUUAACCUUAGCGCCAUAAUCAGAACCUCAAUCCUCCCUUUGAUGAAAGCACCUAAAGGUGUCAUGCCUUUCCCCUCUACCACAUUGAAGCUCUUUGUCUAACACUACAAGAAAUGAGGGCUCUCUCGAUGCAUAAAAUCAUUGGGAGAUAUAUAAAAAGCAUCAGAAAAGGCUUUUCUGACAUACUAAUAUACGUUGGAACACAAGUCAGGAAAAAAUGUAUCGGGAGAGGAACUCCCGAUGCACAAUGUUGUGCGUCGAGAGUUUCUAGACAUCUUCUGACGUUGUAUGAACGUCGAAGAUGUUGUCAAUAUAGCAUCGAGAGAUGUCUAGGAACCAUGCGUCGGGAGAUCCUCUAUUUUUUAUUAAAAAAAAUAACUUCAAUUAAUUCCUAAAUUCAAAUUGAAAACUCUAAAUUCAAACUCAACUUCAACACUUCAACCUCAACUUCAACACUUCAAAUUCAAAUUUCUAAAACCUACAACUAAUUCAAAAUUCUAACAACACUUGAAAUUAAAUUUCAACACUAAAACUUACAACUAAUUCAAAAUCUAAAUACUAAAACUAAUUUGAAAUCUAAAAUCUAACACCUAAAACAAAUUUGAAAUCUAAAUACUAAAACUAAUUAACUAAAACAAAACAAUAACUAACUAAACCACUUACCGAUGGCGGCGACGACAGGACGACAACAGGGACGACAAUGGAGAUGACAAUGCCCUCUUCUUCUUUAUCUUCCUCUCGGUCUCCCUCUCCCUCUCUCAUUUUUUUCUCUUUAUGUUUCAUUUAUAUAAAGAAUGGAGUUAAAAAAGGCAGAGAACUCCUGACGCACAACGAAAACGAAUUGGUUCCACAAACCAAUCUCAUCACAGAGGUACUCUUUGCAAUUUAAGCUCUAUUUGCAAUGGACAGUCUUCAAAGUUUUUUUUAACGAUGUUUCCAAUGCUUUCCUUUCUCUCUCAUGUUUAAUAAAACAAAUUUCUCUUAAAACCUGUAGGGAGGCUACAUCGUAUCGAAUUUCAUACAACUGACGUGUUCAUCGAGUUACAACAAGUGCCGCACAAUAGUCUGUUCCAUUUUGAAAAGUUGUGAGUGUGACACGCUCACAUGAGGUUAGAACGAGACAUGGCAAGGCAAGCCCUACGCGCGCCUGCAACUUCUGCCACAAUAUUUUGUAAGCAAGCUGAUGUCUUUAGGCUGUUUUUGUGGUUUUUGGAAAUUUUAAGCAAAGUUUUGAUAUUUUUAUGAUCAACGGGAAUUAAAUGGAAUUAUUUCCCAUUAUUUUUCAUUAUUUUAGAUUUGAAGGAGAUCGACCAAGUUUAUAAGCCAAGGGUCCAAGCUACUCUCUAUAAGUGACAAAAAUGAGUUUAAAGUUGAUUUCUAUACAUGAAUUUACUAUCAAAUGUUUCAAGCAUGCUUUGAUGUUUGAAUAUUUGAGGAUACUGACUAUAAAGUAUUUCCAAAGCAUGAAUUUAGAAACAUUUUGGUAAACAUGUUUUUAUUCAUGAAUUUACUAAUGAAAAUUAUAAGCAAUCAUGAUUGUGCUAAGUUUUCAGAAUGUUUAAGCUUGAAAAUAAUAUUAGCAUGUUUUAGUCUAUACCUAAAAUAUUCUAAGAUAUAUAGCAACCCUUCGCGGAGAGAUUUUCUUGUGCAUAGAGGUCAUUUGAUUUGGAUAUUCAGUAAAUACCUAGCUUUCCAUCAUUGGUAUUAGAUAAGAGAUGAAGACUUCUAAAGAUGCUUAGUUUCCCAUCUCAGGGACGAGAGCUUGUACGAAUGCCUAGUUUUCCAUCUCAUUGUAGUUAUAACGAGAUAGGGCACAAUUGAUGCCUAGAGUUUCAUCUCGUAAGUAUCGUAUCACGGGAUAGGGCUUCUAUGCCUAGUUUAUUGUUUUUCGUCUCGACGAUUAUAGGUAUAACAGAGAUUUGGUUUGAGGUGCUUCUUAAGUCUUUAAUAUUUAUGUUUGUUUUGAUCCUAGGAAUUGAGCAUGUAAUGUAAAAAGUCUAUGCACAAGGGGUCAUAUGGCCAUCUCCGUGUUUCUUUAAUUAUCAAAUUUGUUCAAGUUUUUAAUUGUCUCUAGAUCAAAAUCUGGAGUUAUUUUUUGUGAUUUGGUGUACAAAUACAUACAUCCAUGUUUCUAAUUAUGAUUAGAUUGUUUUCUGCUCGCAACAUUUUAUUGUUUAGCUUGUCUUUGAUCUUGAACUUACUAUUAUGUUGAUUUAAAUUCCAUUUUAGCCUUAGAACUUUCAAAACAUCCAUUUUAGUCAUCGAGCUUCCAAAACGUAGCCAACUAAGUUUUAGUAUUUUGUAAAUUAUUUUAUCAAUUAAUAUUCAUUUAUCCAAUACUCAUCGGUCAUUUCUGCUAUAUGUGAUUGGAAUAUAUCUCAUAGGAAGCAUUUUGAAAGUUGGGAAAAGAUGGAAAAUUUUAGGGACUAGAACAAGAAUUUGUUUAAUAUUUUUUGAUAGGGUGAAUUCUUGCAAUUUCCUUGUCGUAUAUACAUAAUUUUUUCUCUCAUUUGGCAAAUUCAUUAUGCUUGAAAAUUUAGGUGAUUCAUGAGCUAGAUAAAGUAAACAACGUAUGGAAGAUGAUCUUUGUGGCUUGUGAGGAAGACGUGGAGGAAGCCUUGGUGGCCGUAGAAAAAGGGAUAUGGACUUUCAACGUUGAAUGGUUAAUGGCAUGUAUAAUGAGACAAGAAGUAGACUUGGAGGCCCUUAAUUUGCUGAGUCCCUAUGAGAAACAAGGUCACCCUAACUUUCAGUUUUGAACAAGCAGCAGCCAGCCAUUUCGUCCUUGUGUAAAUCCACUCUUUUCUCAACUCACUCUAAUUUGGUACAUAAACAAACUCUGAUCGCUCCAUCUCUAUAUUCAUCAGUACAUAAAAGACGAUAAGUUUAUUCAUGGAGAAAGUUGGAUGUAAGUAUGUUUUAGGAAUGGUCCUUCAUUUAGUAACUUUGGGAAUUGUAAAAAUGAGGUAAUGAAGUUCUAUCAAGUUGAAUGUUCUUGUUUAUGUUAGAUGAGACUGAUUCUUGGAUACCAGAAUUAACUUGAAGUACGUGUUUGAGUUCCAUUGGAGUGAUUAGAGAAAAGAUGUUCCUUUAAAAACGGUAAUUUUUUUAUGUAGACUUUCUUUUUAUUAAAAUUGCUUAAAAUACAAUUUGAGAGUAUUUCAAUAGCUUUCAAAGAGUUGUCAAACACUUGUAGUUUUUCUAAAAUAACAUAUUUUCAAAAUUAAUUACUGUAAUAGUUAAACAAAAGAUUCUUUCCCUUCGAAAUUUUAAAGUUUGUCUAGUUACCUCUUAAACCUUUCAAUUGUUUAAUAGGUCUUUCAAUUUUAUGUUUUAAGUGUCAUAAAUUUUGAUUUUUUUUUAUUUGUUAGAUAUAAAUCUGAAGAAAUGAAUAAAGUAGAUUUGUAAGUUUAAAAUAGUUUAAAAGUUGAGAAAUUAAAUUUGUAGUUUAAAAGUUGGAGUAAAUAGUUUGUGUUAAGUCGGGUUGUGAUAUUUUAUUUAUUUAUUUUAAUAAUAGAAGAGAGGGAGACGAAAACUGCAGACUGAAGGGAGAAGAAGCGGUGGCUGACUUUGUAUAUUUCUCCUUUCUUUUCAAUUUGAGAAAAUUUCUUUGCAAUUCACUUUGAAAAGGAAAUGAAUAUUUCUCCCUCAGACUUAUCUCUCUCUUCUUUUCAAUUUAUUUUCAAUUUUUCUGUGUGCUUCUCACAGUGUAUGCAUAAUCUCUCUUUCAUUUUGAUAUUCAUCUCCAUUUCAAAUAUCUCCCACACAAAGAACAAAGAAAUGAGUAAAGUAACUGAGAGAGCAUUUUGUUUUUCCCUUCAUAUGGUUGGUUACUUUUUGUCAAUUAAAUGAAAAGUGAAGAAUAAGAUAAGAUUUUCUUUACCCAUUUGCCAUCAUCAUCAAAGCUAUUUACCUCAUUUUUGUUCACACACACACAACUUCAUUUUGUUGGAUUACACUCAUUUGAGAAAAUAGCAAAAUUUUAUUAGAAGAAUAGCAAACACGAGCAUUUCAUGUGUUUUGAAUUUUCAUUAACCCUAAAAUCUCCUCGCCUGCUUUUUAGUUAAACUGUAACUAAUUUUGAAAUAUGCAAAAUUUUAGCAUAAAUAUUGAUUUUCUCCUACAUUAUCUUAACACACUUUUUUUCCUCCAAAUAUUGGAUUUAUAUCAAAUCUUUAUUUUCAAAUUUUACUUUAUCCAAAUUUUCAUUUUUCAAAAUUUCAUCGUUAUUCUACUUUUAUUUUUGUAUUUCAUAUAUAUAUAUAUAUUUAUAAUAUUUAAUCUUAUUUUUUCUCUUUUCCUAUUCAUCUUCUUCCUUUCUCUUCCUCUUCAACCUACGGCCACACCACCGUCUCUUUUCUUCCUUCUCUUUUCAUUCUCCAAUCAACUUCACCACCGUCUUCCACCUACAUCGAACGUCAAGCAAAUUUUGUCGUAUCGUCGCAUCACCGUUAGCCCGAGUCACUCCGGUUCCGUCACGCCAUGUAUGUUUAGAUUUGAAUUGUUUGGUUAUUUGUUGCACCGAUCCGUCUCCGUUAGAAUUUGAUUCUCCACAAUUUGGGUAAGUUAUGGAAUUUACAUAUAGAGUGAAUUGAAUGGAUUAAAUUGUUUGUGGAAGUGAUUGAUUUCUCUUCAAUUAUGUUUAGGUCGGUUCGUUGCACUUUAGUUUGAAAAAGAAGCUUAAGUAAGGUUAUAAGCUAAGGGAUUCUCUACUACUGGACUCACCUAUAGUUUUGAAUUGUGCUGUCUGUAUAGUUACCUCGAUUGAGUAAAGAUGUCGAAACGAUAUAUAUACGUAUGAAUGUAGACUUGAUGUUGAAUGCAUAUUGUGAUUGUCUGGGAAUAUAUAUAUAUAUAAAUAUGUAUGGAUGUAGACAGGACGACAAUUGUAGAUUGUGUUUGUAUGGAAUGUGGAUGUGUGAACUUGUGAUUGUCGUUUAGAUUGGGUGUAUGUUAUACUAAAGUAUGGUUGUGUACUGGUGAAUUGAGGGGUGUUAUGACUAUAUAGUUUGAUUGACUGAUGUAUUGAUAUGUUACUGGCGGACAUUGGGCUAAAGUGAGAUAAGUUGACUAUUAGGGUGUUCAGUGAAAGGAUUAUAUGUUGAAGUAGUUGGUUACUAUGAAUGAGUUUUAAGAUGUUUAGAAUGGAUUGAGGGGAAAAUUGUUAGAUUUCUAUUGGGUAGUUACCUUGCAGGUGUCCUACAGGAUCACCACCUGAUAUGUGCAUCCUUCGAUAGCACUAGACUGAUAUGUGCAUCCUUCGGGAGCAUUAGACUGAUAUGUGUUUCUGCGGAACACUAGACUGAUUUAUGCGUCCUUUGAGGCGUUAGACUGAUUAUGUGUAUCCUACGGAUCACAAGACUGUGACUGUGCAGGGUACCCCAAUAGGAAGUUAACAGUUUCUUUUUCCCCUAACGGGACGAAUAACGGGUCUCUUAUUGGGUAUGUUUAUACUCAUCCUUUCAUGUUUAACUAUUUUAGGCAAAGGUAACAAAUGAGGUAGACUGACGAGGGACAAGAAGGAGACGUGAUUGCCAUAAGGGAAUGUCCUUCAAAUGCUUCUGCUUUAUGUUUCUUGUUUUCCUUUGUACAUGAGGUUGUUUAAAAAUUUUGUGAUGGAACUGAGUUUACGAACUGUUGUUUUGUGAAUAGUACUUUAAAGUUUGGAUAUUUGAAAUAGGGCCCGAACUUAAGUUUGUUUUCUUUGAUCGUAUGAUUUCAAGUGAAUUUUACUAUAUUUUGUGUCAAUCAAGGUCUCUUUGUCAAAAUUAAUGACUUCAACUUAGUUAGAAAAGUUGGGUCGUUACAACAAAUUUUAAGUAUUGAUGUAAGAAUUAUGUACUUCAUUAUAAAGGUCGAUAGCUUACAAAUAUUAACACGAUCGUGUACCGAUAACAAGACGAUUGUUUACACUAUUCAAUACGAUCACCAAUAUCAUAUGAUCGUGUACCCAUGUCAACACGAUAAUUUAUUUUAAUCAAUAUUAUCAUUUACCGUUCUUAAAUGUUCGUUUAUCACGGUUAAUAGGAUCGUUUAAUGUAUAUUAUUUCAUUGCACGAUCGUUUACUUAUUCUUGCAUUGUGUUUAGUAUUAUCAUUUUGUACAUUUUAUUCUUUUAUUCAGUAAUAAAUGUAUAUCUAUGUCUAUCUAUUUCUUUCUAUCACAAUUAAAUACUUAAUUUUAUUUUAUUUAUUUUUUUUACAGAUUAUAAUGUCUUUUCCUAUUGUUGUUUUUUACGGAGGUCAAUGGAAUGGAUGUAAUAUUUAUGAGAAUUACUUAGUUGCUGAAAUUUUGGUAGGUGUCCGAGUCAGCUUUAAUUCUCUAGUUGAUUUAAUAUGUGAACAGAUUCAAUUGGAUGGAUAAGUAGAAUUAUCUGUUUUACUUGAUUUUGGUAAAAGCAAGGUCCAACUGUGGUGCCAGUAAAGAAAGACAAUGAUGUGGCUUGGUAUUUAUCUUUUGCUAAAGAUGCAACUAAUAUACAUCCAUUAGUUGCUCAUGUAACUGUUGAUUUUUUUUAGAAGGUCUUCUUCUUCUUAGAGAACUACCUGUAGCUACCAUGCUUAGUUCAAUUAGAGAUGUAUUGCAAAAGUGGUUUGAUGAAAGAAGUAAAGCUACUUUUACAAUGAAGAGUUGUUUGACUUCUUGGGCUGAGAACGUGUUGCAUUUAGAAUAACAUGAAAAGUCAAGAAUUUUAUUGGUAAUUUUUUUUUUUUUUUUAAUGUUUGUAUCUCAGGUAGAUAUAAAUAGAUUGCUAUUUUUGUCCAUUCGAUAGAGAAAUAUAACAAUUUAUGUGUGCUUGUUUCAGAUAUAUAGAGAUAGAUAGCUAUCAAUGUCUAUUUGUCUCUAUUUGUGCAUGCUUUUUUUUUUAAUUUUUCUAUAUUUGUUUUAUGUAUUAGGUUGAUCCAAUUAGUAUGACUGAAUAGAAAGUAAUGGAUGAUACAAAAUGAUAAUGUGAUUUAUUUAUAUUGGUUCUAAUUUGAAAUAUUCAAAUUUACUUUGGAAAUUAGUAUAAUUAGUAUAAUAUAUAAUGAUACAUUAUAAUAUAAAGUUUAUAUUUAAUGAAACUUUAUUAUAUAAAUUUAAUUUUAGAUAAAGUUCAAAAUUAAUUUAUGAGAAAAUAUUUGAAUGAGUUCAAAUAUUAAUUUAAUGUGGAUUUGUUUCAUAUUAAAACUAUUAAUUAUGAGAUAAAGUUAUAUUUGAAUAUGAUUCAAAUUUAACUUAAGUUAAAUAUAAAAUAUUUAAUUUAGUUAUUAAUUAAUUGAAGAAUUAAUUAAUAGUUUAGUUUAAUAUUAUUUAAUUAAAUUUGAUUUAAUUAAAUUAAUAUAAAACUAUGGGUAUUGGAGAGAUAUUCAUUCAAUAAGAUUUAAAUGAAAUAUUAAUUAAAUAUGAUUUAAUUAAUUAUUAACUAAUUGAUUAAUGGUUAAUUAGUUAGUUGAUUUGAAACUUCUAUUAAUUUAAUAUUUUUUAAGUUAAUAGAAUCCUAUGAUUUUCUCCUACCCCGUCUCCUACUCAAUGAAAGAAAGAGAGUUAUAAAUAUGUAGAAGAAAAACAUCUUUUCUUAACCAAAAUAAAAUCGAUGAUUUUCUUUUCUGCAAAAUAGAUUGUAACGACCUAAUUUUUCGAAUUAAGCUGAAGUUAUUACUUUAAGACUAGAUUCGUCUUUAACCAUAAGACUUUAUAAUUUAAAAAAUAUAUUUUUUAACAACAUUAAAGAGUUUUUAUUCGGCUCUAUUUCAAAUAAAAUUUUGAAAGUGUAAAAGUAUCGAUAAUAAAGAAAGUUCAAGAACAUAAAAGUCGUUCAAUCAUGAAACCCAAAACAGUCUCAAUUACUAAAGAAAACCAAAAAAAAAAAAAAUAUAAAGUAAAAGCAAUUUGAAGGACAUUUCCCUAUGGCAGUUUCGCGGAAAAAGAUUAAACAUAAAAGGGUGAGUAUAAACAUACCCAGUAAGGGACCCACUACUGAUCCUGUUUAGAAGAAAAAUAAAAUUGUUAACUUCCUAUUGGAGGUGCCCUGCACUUUAAAAGUCUUGUGAUCAUGUAGGAAUACACAUAAGCAGUCCAAUGCCCUAAAGGACACAAAUACUAGUCUAGUGCUCUGCAGAAAGCACAUGUCAGUCUAGUGCUCUCGAAGAAUGCACAUGUCAGUCUAUUGCUCUCGAAGAAUGCACAUGUCAUUCUAGUGCUCUCGAAGAAUGCACAACAGGUGGUGAUCCUGUAGGACACCUGCAAGGCACACUACCCAAUCGACAAAGCUAACAAUUUUCCCUUAGUCCAUUAUAAACAUUUAAUCAAUCCAUUCCUAGUAUAGUCAAACUACUCCAUCAUAUCAUCAAUCCAACUUAACACACUUACGUUCAAUCUAUUCAAUCUAUCACAAAAUCAGUUGAUACUAUAACAACACACCAGACAGUCAAGAUAUAUAUAUAUAUACAUAACACCUUUCUCAGUUUACAAAUACAUUAUCCAUCGUAUCUACUUCUAUACCAGUAAGUUUACAAACACUAACUGUUGAGUUUCUACAGUAGAUUCUUGAAGAUGUGACUCUUGAACAGAUGGAUUCUCAUGGAUGAUCACAUGUUUGUUAUUUUGAUGGUCAUCAUUCUUGUCUAGAUUGUGAUGACUAGAAUCAUCACGAAGAUCAUCAUACAUGUUGUUAAUAUCAUCAAACAAUUGAUUCUGAUUCUAGUAUAGAAAGAAAAAAGGAUAAUAAAAAAAUAGUUACAAAAUGAUCGUGUAUCCUUAAGCAAACAAUCGUGUAGAAUAUCUAAACGGUUGUUUUACCAAGGGUGAUCGAUAUUUUAGAUGGGAUAUGCGAUCGUUCAUAUGUGAUAUGUGAUCGUGUAAAGAUAUAUCAAACCUUUGUUCUGUCAGAAGUCGUGCUAAGAAGAGUUGAAAGCUUGUAAUAAGAUCCAUCAAAACUGAAAGAUUUUACAUCAACACGUUCCUGACACAGUAAUGCAGUAUCAAUGAGCAUCAAAUUACGUGAGAUACGUAUUAGAAAAUAUCUAACUGCUCAGUUAAUUUUUUAUGGACAUCAAAUCACCUUUUUUCAAGCUUAAGGAAGGAAAUGUCGACACUAUAUAUGUCAGAGUUGUGCAUUGCAAUGGAAGUGCCAACACGAGGUGAUACAUGUGUGUCUGGGAUGUAAAUGCCACUCCCCGACUAGGACCAACAUAGACUUAGGGAGAAAGCAUGCUAGGAAUUGGAGUUGUGUCCUCAAUUUCUUCAAGGGACUUGAGCAUUUCUUCUUACACUAGAAUGUCUCCUGUUCAGAGAGUUUAUAGGAUUUCUCAAGGCCAUUUUUGCAUACUUAACAGCUCUUGACAACGGUAGAGAGUCUAACUCUACACUUUCAAGGGGUUCCAACUCCACCACUCGCUGAGCCAAAGAUAGAGACGAAUCAUUAAUGAUCCAGUAAGCAACAUGAAACCUUGUAAUUUUGGGGUUAACGGUAGUCCCUCCCAUUACUAGCUCAACACUUAAACGGAGUCUCCUCUAUAAAAUAUAAAAUAAUACAGACACAAAUAGUGAAUGAAAUCUUGUGACGUAACAAACACAAAUUUUAGGUAUACUGCAAUUUGACUAAAUAUUGAACAAGAAAACCCAAGGGAAUACACAAAAAUCCAACGUUUUUAGGGGUCAAUUUGGAAAAUGGCAAAACUACUUUUUCUUUUCAAUUUUAGCAAACAACAUUUUUUGCGCGUGCAUGGUAUUUUAUAAAAUACCAAAAUAUUCAACUUCUCCAACUAUAAUUAUUUUGUUUUUACGUUAUAAUUAAUUUAUGUUAUGUAUUUAUCAACUUUUAAUUAAUUUUUACUUGAAAUAGAUACAUUAACUCAUAUCAUAACUUUUCUCUUAAAAUCUCAGGACUCAAUUAAUUAAUUCAAUAUUUUAAUAACAUUAUUCAAUCUUAUUAAUUUCAAAAUAAUCUAAUUGAAUUUGAAUUUCAAAAUAACCAAAUUGAAUUUCAAAAUUACAAAAUUAUUAUUUUCUAGAAUUUGAGAAUCUCAACGAUAGAUUUUAUAUUAAAAUAAACUUAUCUCAAAAUAAUUUUAAUGACUUGAAUAUCAAGAUAAUUAAAUUAUUAUUUUAAAAAUUGGAAGAAAAGCACAAAAAGCGCACACGCCCACUCACGUACACACGCACGCGCGCGUAUACGCACACACACGCACACGCACACGCACAAAAGCGCACACGUGGACACUCACACCCACGCACACGUAGACAUACACACCCACGCACACGUGGACACGCGCAUACGCACACACGUACGCACUCACGCACACGCACGCACACACGCACAUAUGCACAAAGAUGUAUAAAUGAAUUAAAAUUAAAAAAUAACUACAAUAAUUUGACUUACUAACGUUAAUUAAAUUAUAAUUUCUAUCAAUAUUGGUUUAAAAGUGUCAUUAAUGUAAUUAUUUCAAUAUAAUGCACUCUUAUCCAAUUUUACGAACAAAAAACAAGUCGAAUAUGUACCAUUAGAUGACACUCUUUGUCAUAAGAGAUAUAGCAACGUUUUUAUGGGUCAUUUUGAAAAAUGGCAAAACUACUUUUUCUUUUAAAUUUUAGCAAAUAGAAUUUUUUACACGUGUCCAUGAUAUUUUAUAAAAUACCAAAAUAUUCACCUUCUCAAACAGUAAUUAUUUCGUUUCUACGUUGUAAUUAAUUUAUGUUAUGCAUUUAUUAGCUUUUAAUUAUUUUUUACCUGAAAAAGAUACAUCCUUUUUCUUAAUAUCUCGGGACUCAACUAAUUGAUUCAAGAUUUUAAUUUUAUUCAAUCUUACUAAUUUCAAAAUAACCUAAUUAAAUUUCAAUUUCAAAAUAACAAAAUUAUUAUUUUUCGAAAUUUGAGAAUCUCAACGAUAGAUUUUGUAUCAAAAAUAACUUUAAUUGAAUUUCAAAAUUAAAAAAUAUUAACUUGUUCGCACACAAGCACACGCGCACACGUGCACAACGCACGCACACACACGCACACACACCCAUCCACACACGCACACGCACACGCACAUAUGCACACACGCACAAAGAUGUGUAAAUUAAUUAAAGUUAAAAACAAAUACAUUCAUUAUGUUCAGAAAGAGUUUUAAACCAUGUUCAUUUGACUUAAUAACAUUGAUUAAAUUAUAAUUUCUAUCAAUAUUGGCUUAAAAGUGUCAUUCGUGUAAUUAUUUCAAUAUAAUGCAGUCUUAUCCAAUUUUACGAACAAAAAACAAGUCAAAUAUGUACCAGUAGAUGACACUCUUUGUCAUAAGAGAUAUAGCAACGUUUUUAUGGGUCAUUUUGAAAAAUGGCAAAACUACUUUUUCUUUUAAAUUUUAGCAAAUAGAAUUUUUUACACGUGUCCAUGAUAUUUUAUAAAAUACCAAAAUAUAAACCUUCUCAAACAGUAAUUAUUUCGUUUCUACGUUGUAAUUAAUUUAUGUUAUGCAUUUAUUAGCUUUUAAUUAUUUUUUACCUGAAAAAGAUACAUCAACCCAUAUCAUAACUUUUUUCUUAAUAUCUCGGGACUCAACUAAUUGAUUCAAGAUUUUAAUUUUAUUCAAUCUUACUAAUUUCAAAAUAACCUAAUUAAAUUUCAAUUUCAAAAUAACAAAAUUGUUAUUUUUCAAAAUUUGAGAAUCUCAACGAUAGAUUUUGUAUCAAAAACAAUUUUAAUUGAAUUUCAAAAUUAAAAAAUAUUAACUUGUUCGCACACAAGCACACGCGCACACGUGCACAACGCACGCACACGCACGCACACACACUCAUCCACACACGCACACGCACACGCACAUAUGCACACACGCACAAAGAUGUGUAAAUUAAUUAAAGUUAAAAAAACAAAUACAUUAAUUAUGUUCAGAAAGAGUUUUAAACCAUGUUCAUUUGACUUAAUAACAUUGAUUAAAUUAUAAUUUCUAUCAAUAUUGGCUUAAAAGUGUCAUUCGUGUAAUUAUUUCAAUAUAAUGCGGUCUUAUCCAAUUUUACCAACAAAAAACAAAUCGAAUAUGGAUCAGUAGAUCUACACUCUUUGUCAUAAGAGACAUAACAACGUUUUUAGGGUCAUUUUGAAAAAUGACAAAACUACUUUUUCCUUUGAAUUUUAGCAACUAGCAUUUUUUGCACGUGCAUGGUAUUUUAUAAAAUACCAAAAUAUCAACAUUCUUCAACUGUAAUUAUUUCGUCUCUACAUUGUAAUUAAUUUAUGUUAUGCAUUUCUCAGCUUUUAAUUAUCUUUUACUUGAAAUAGAUACAUCAACUCAUAUCAUAAUAUUUUUCUUAAUAUCUCGAGACUCAACUAAUUAAUUCAACAUAUUAAUAAUUUUAUUCAAUCAUACUAAUUUCAAAAUAACCUAAUUGAAUUUGAAUUUCAAAAUAACAAAAUUGAAUUUCAAAAUAACAAAAUUGAAUUUCAAAAUAACAAAAUUGAAUUUCAAAAUAACAAAAUUAUUAUUUUUCGGAAUUUGAGAGUCUCAACGAUAGAUUUUGUAUUAAAAUAACCUUAAUUGAAUUUCAAAAUUAAAAAAUAUCAACCUGUUCACUAUCUUUAUCUCAAAAUAACAUUAAUGCCUUAAAUAUCAAGAUAAUUAAAUUAUUAUUUUAAAAUUGGAAGAAACUCAACAUUAAAAAUAUUAACUUGUCGGACACAAGCAUAGAAGCACUGCGCACACACGUACACAUGCACACUUACACACACGCGCGCACACGCACACCUACACACAGACACCCACAGACGCACGAACCCACGCACACACACAUGCACACGCGCACGCAUGCACACACACACCUAUCCACACGCACACAAGCACACACACAUGCACAAACGCACACACGUGUACGCACAAACCUUAUCUCAAAAUAGUUCCUAUUUUUGCUGACAGUUUAUUUUUUGCCAUCGAUAGAGGAUCUUCCAAUAGACCUACGUGACGGUGUGUGUUGACAGCUUAAUUUUGUUGGCAAAAGAAAAGUUGAUUAGUUUUUGAAGAUUUACUGACGAUAUUUGUCAUCGACAAAGGGUAAAUUUCUUGUAGUGCAUGUACAUCAAACAUAUCAAAUUUGUUAAGUGUACCAAUGAAGUAUAACAAGUUUAUUAGUGGUGUAUCACGUGUAUCAAACUUAUUAGUGAAGUCUUUAAGUGUAUCAAACUAAUCAAGUGUAUCAAGGCCUCAGGGGUAUCAAGUGUAUCAAGAAGAAUCAAGUGUAACGAGAAGUAUUAUGUGGAACGAGAAGUAUUAUAUGUAUGAAGAUGUUUCAAGUGUGUAUCAAAAAGUAUCGAGUGUAUCAAUGAGUACCGAGUGCAUGAAUUGUAUCUAUCAAAUGUAUCAAGUGUAUCAGUAAGAAGUAUCAAGUGUAUCAAGGGUAUUAGGUGUAUCAGACGUGUAUAAGGUGUAUCAAAUAUACAUCAAUAACGAGGGCAUUUGUGACAUUUUACCUCUUGAUGUGUGAGUUGGUCUUUGUUUUUGUCAUUUUCUCAAAUAAUAAAGUAUGUGUUCUAUGGACUUAAUUAUUAUAACUUAUUUUGCCAUUUUCGCAAGUGUCCCUUAAUUGUAAUACAUGUAUAUGUGACAUAAUCUAAUCAAACUAACUCAUAAAUGGACUUAAUGUAUCAAGAGGUAUUAGGUGUAUCAGACGUGUAUAAGGUGUAUCAAAUGUACAUCAAUAACGAGGGCAUUUGUGACAUUUUACCUCUUGAUGUGUGAGUUGGUCUUUGUUUUUGUCACUUUCUCAAAUAAUAAGGUAUGUGUUCUAUGGACUUAAAUAUUAUAACUUAUUUUGCCAUUUUUGCAAGUGUCCCUUAAUUGUAAUACAUGUAUAUGUGACAUAAUAUAAUCAAACUAACUCAUAAAUGGACUUAAUCUAUCUCAUGGACCACGAAUUCUUCAAUUACUUGCAAAUUUGGUGAGUUCCUUCAAAUGGUGGGCGGAGAGCUUAAUUUUGAGAGAGAGGAAAAGUCGUGAAGAGUAUUUGCGAGAGAGGGGGGAACGUCGCCAGAGAGCAUUUGCGAGAGAGCUAAAGACAGCGACGAUGUGGGAUGAAGUAAGGUUUUUUUCGGUCAUUGUUCACAAGUGGGAUGAAAGCUUCGAAUUAUUUGUUUUAAAUCAAAAAACGUAUGAUUGAAGGAAAACAUUGAUUUUUAUUAGGGUAAUUUUUUAAUGACACAUAAUUUAUGCCAUUAUUUACAAUGCCAAAAUUUUGUCAAGAAAACUCAAUUUGUGUCACAAAAAAAUUUGUAUUUUUAUUUUUUUAACGACACAUUUUAUUCCCUCAUAUCCCUUUUUCUUGAUUUCAAGUGUCAUUAAAACUUAUAUUUCUAAAUAAAUUUAUUCGACGAAAGUGGCUAGAUUGGUGGGUUUGACGGCGAAGGCUUGUUGUGGGAGCAACGACAACAGUGGUUGGAGUGUGGAAUCGACGACGGCAAGUGGCAAAAAAUUGGGGGCAAGGGUUCUUCAUAACGACUCGAUAGCCCACUUCGAAUUUUUUUGAAAUUUGAGGUUUUUUCAUUUGAAAAUUUUUUUAAUGACAAAAAAAUUGACGUUAAUUAAUGACGCAAAAUUUGUGUUGAAAUAAAUUAAAUUGUGUCAAUAUGAUUGUUUUAAGAAAUAAUCCAUAUUUAUAUUUUCAACAACACAAUGUACCUCAUCCCACCUCUUUUUUCUUUUAUUUUCAACGACACAAUGUCUUGAUUAAAAUCCAUUUUUCUAGUAGUGACUGAAAAAAAAACUGGACAGAAUCAUAAUAUCUUUGAUAAUUAAAUCACCAGUUGGUUUGAACAUAUAUAAUCUUGGAUCUAUUCUAUUAUGAUAUGACCAUGGUACAUCAUGAACAUACAUUGACUAAAAAACUUAAAUUGAUGAGUGAAUGUAAUAAAUUUAAUAUUAAUUAUAUGAUCAAUACUUUACACAUGUAUAUUGGUAUAUCAGUCAAUAACAGUAGUAAGACAAAUUAUAAAAUAUAAGGGAUAAAAGUCCUACACAUGCAUGUAUGGUAUACUCUCUUGAUAGCAAAAUGCAUUUAUGUCAACUCAUGUUUGAAUGCAUUUAUGUAGGAAAUUCAAUAAAAUAAUUAAGAAACCUUGCAAUAUGUGAGAGAUAUACGAACUUCAAACAAAUUUUACAAGUUUCAGCAAAAAUUUUCAAACAACUUUUAAAGUUUAAGCAAAAAGUAACCGUAGGUAGGAAGGGGAGCAAAAGUGGGGUCUCGAAUUAAUUCUGAAAAAUUAGUAGGCUUUCAAAAUUUAGGUUCUAGAAGUAGAAUUAUUGCAGAAAAAUAAAUAAUUGCAUCAUUCAAAUUGAAUCAGACAUAUCAGGAUGUAUAUAUUCUCCACAACGUAUAAUGGAGUAUAAACAUAAAGUUUCUAUAUACAAAGCUAUGUAUCUCUACCCUUGACUUCUCUUUCUCUCUUUCUACCUUUUUUAUCCUUUCUUUCUUCCAUUCACUCAAUACACUUGCAAGAACCUUCAUUUUUUUGUAUUUAAAUUUUCUUGGCACCAUCCUUUUUUUUAAUUAUCAAGGCUUUGUUAUUGUGUACCAGUAUUGUGUCGUGCCUCCUUCACUUCUCAUCAUCAUUUUCAUGUCACAUCUCUACCUUGUCAAUUUUCGUUUUUCACUCAGCUUUCUUUCUUCUUUUGUCUUCACUACUUUCUUCGCUCCUUCUUCUCAAGCUCUAACUUUUGCUAUUAUCAACCAGUCUCAAAUGACCAUUGGAAAACCUAUAGCCCACUGAGAGGCAGCCAAUAUAGUAAUGUCUCUAAUGAUAAACUCCAAUGAAAUCAAAAGUUCUUCUUUAAGAUUUGGAAAAAUAUAUUAGAUAAACCCGGACGUGGUGAACGCGGUGAACGCAGACGCACGGACGGUGAACACGGCAGAAGUUAGAGAUCCUCAGAGAGAACUUGGCAUUUUCGAAUGCGGUAGAGACAAGUCUAGGGCUUCAAAGGAUUCAACCCAAUAUUUUCUUUAUAUAUAUAUAUAUAUAAUAUAUAUUAUAUAUAUAUAAAUAUAUUUAAUAACACUUGACGUUUUCAAAAACGUCAAGAAAAACGAUCUUACUUAACGUCUAAAAAAACAUCAAGAAAUUUAAAAAAUAACUCUCUCUGGCUUUUUAUAAAAAUUCUUGACGUUUUAAAACAUAAAGAAUUUUUAAGAUAUUUCUUGACGUUUUUAAAAUGUCAAGUAAAAGUACAUAUUACUUGACGUUUGAAAAUUUUGAAGAAUAUUGAAUAUAUAAACAUUCUUGACGUUUAAAAAUGUCAAAAUUUUUAUAGAUAUUUCUUGACGUUUUUAAAACGCCAAGAAAAAAUACAUAUUAGUUGAUGUUUAAUAAACGUCAAGAAAUCUGAAAAUUGACCUACCCGCCUUUUCGUAAAAAUUCUUGACGUUUUAUCUUUGGAACUACUCCUUUCUUGACGUUUUUUUUGAAAAAAAUGUCAAGAAAGAAAAACAACAAACGUCAAGAAAGGCCUUUUUUGUAGUAAUGACAUACAUAAAUAUAUAUAUAUACAUAUAUAUAUAUAUAUAAUGAAUUAAAAUGGUUUUGUUGCUUUACUGUUUUACUCUAUAAAGGAAGAGCAUUAUAAAUAUAUUAUUGAGGAAACAUUUUUUGAAAUGACUGGUUUUGGAAGUGUCAUUAGAUUUUUAGUUAGUUAAGCACAUUUUCCUCCCAAAUAGUAGUCGAAAUACAACUUUUUUUAAGAAGAAGAAACCGAAUCAUUCAAACUAAGAUAAUCCUAGGAUAAGAGUCAUUAUCUAUUAACAUAGAGCUAAAGUUACAAGGUUGAAGGCUAGAGGGAAGCCCGAAACAACCUAAUCUAACAAAGCUUAAAGUUAAGAGUUGGUAGUAACAUCAUAUUGGUUACAAGAUGAAUGACGCCUAGACCAAACUCCGAUCAAGUUACAUAUGUCUUCCCACAAGUAAACAAUAAACCUUGAUUUAUCCUUAAAAAUUCUAUUGUUUCUUUCUAUCCAAACAGUCCAAAGUAAGCCAGUUAUGGAGGGAGGAAUACACAUUAGAAAGCUCAGUUAUGGAUGGAGGAAUACACAACUUUUUCUCAUGGUCAUUUUCCUCGUGGGCAUUAUCUUCAUGUUUCUUCUUAUUCCGACUAAAAUACAAGCACAAAUUAUUCUUCGCCUUCGUAUAGGUUUGUUUGAAGAAGAUUAAAAAAGUCCUUAAUUUAUCUCGACACUUCCAAAACCAGAAUAUAAUACCCGUGCUACAUAAAUCCCUCUUUCCAAAUAGUCAAACAUGAACUAUCCAUGAAUAUCUUGAAUAAACAAGAGAAACCCUAACUAAACCCAAAUAGAAAAUACGCUGCAAUCUAAAAUAUACUUAAAGAAACAAAAAGAAGUUUUAAUGAUGUGGGUUUUUUACUGAUCUUCUUCAACAACAAAAUAACUCAACGCCACAGUUCAAUUUUUCCUUCCACGAAUUGGUUUUUAAAGAGUUUUCACCGCGAAUUUAUCUUUUUGGUUCAACAAGUAAACAACAUGUGAAUCCCCAAAUGCAAGGUUUUAUUAAAAAAUUAAAAUAUAAUUUUUUUAAAAAAAUUAUAAUACCUAAUUUUUUUUUAUAUAUUUAUAACCUAAUUUUCUGUCAUUGCAUACUUGAGAGAAAUAUAUUUUCAAUUAGCAUAAUAACCUUUAUAUAGUAAAUUAAAUUUGUAGAAUGAGAAAAGACCUUAGAUCCAAAAAAGUUAUUUAUUUAUUAUUGGAGUGAAUUGUCUAAUUAAUGUAGUUAAUGGAUGGUUUUGUAACCAUAAAAAUAAUGAAAAUAAUUUUCUAAAAGAAUGAAUGAAAAUUUGGAAAGUUAAAAGGUUUUAGGAAUUAAAAAAAGGGUGUAACAUUAUAAAAGACUACCAAAUAUACUGUAAGAGACAUGCAUUAAAGAAGCUAAGGCAUGCAUACUACCAAAUAUACUAUAAAUAAACCAGAAUUCUUUUUAAGAAAUUAAACAACUAAUUAAAUAUAAAGAAGAAAGAUUAGAAAAUGAAUGAUCAAACAAACUAUGACUCAUUUAUUUUUGACAGGUUCGGCCAGUAUCACCUGACAAUUCAUUUUCACCAAGAGAAUAAACAUGAGUAGCCUUGGAAUCAAGUUCCUCCGAUAAAAGCCACGGAGUUGAUGGGUUAGAGACAGAACCAGAAUUUGAGUUCAACGAUCUGGAUGGAAAAUUCUGAAACUAGCAGCAACAAGAAGUUAAGAUAACGAAUUAUUUUCAAUAUAGAAAGGCUAAUUGUAAGAAGUUGUUAAUGAAGUGUCCAAAUGCAUUAUGGUAAUAUUGGGUGCAGAUUGUUUGGAAGUUUUAUCCGUGUGCUGUGAAGCACCACAGAGUUGAAGCAUAUGAAACCAGUGUUUAUCUGACAAAAAAUAAUGUCAUGAUCAUUGCCUUUCCAUUCCAUAAAUUUAUGGAUAGCAAAAGAAAGAGAACUCUCAACACAUGAAUCACCAUAAAGACACACAUGACAACAUUAUUUUGGAUGAAGUUCUAAUAUUGCAACCAUGGAGGAAAAAUCAGCAAAUCUUAAAUAGAUGUAGUAGUCCAAAUGAUAAAAGUUUGUCUCAAGAUAAUAUUUCAGUAACUGCAGAUGCAUUGUGCUGAAUCUAACUCUUGUGUUUCACGGUAAUGAACAAGGACAAUGUGUUCAAAGGUCCUGAACAAAAAGCAGAAGCAAGUCAUAAUUAUAUAAGUAGAACACGAUAUACUGCCACUGUCUAAUUUCAUUUUUCUUUGCUUGUGGCAUGAUGGGGAUAGACCCCACUGAAACAACUGGUAGCAAGCAAUUUAACAAUUUUCUUUCAACCAUAACAUACUUAUCUAGGAGCCAAUAACCCGCGAACAAAGGUUGGGCUAUCUAGUCCGUGGCAUAGUAUACAUGUAUCCUUUCUACAUUACCAACCUGCUGAAGAGAAAGAAAAGAUUAUCAAAGCACACCUUUCCUUGGUUAUUAAGGCUGUAAAAGAAUGAAAAUUACCAUAAAUCUAAACAUAGUUAAUAUUAGACCAUUGAACAACUUAUAGAUUCAAAAGGAAAGACUCAAACCACCAAUAGACUGGUUAAUCAUUUAAAAUGAUCUCCAACAACAUGAUACGCAGUAUAUCGUGCUAGAUCCAUAAUUACCAGAUGUGGACUCCUAUGGUAAUUUCAUUGAUGAUACGCAGCUAGUAGGCAAGAUUAUGAAAUGAAGACGGUAUGUGAGACGAUUGAAAAGAUCAAGAUGAUAAAAUUAUAGGGAUUUGAAUUUAUAUCUUAAGAACACCAGAGUCAAAUGCUUAAGAUGAUUAACUGUGUUAAAUUUAACUCUAUAAUAUAUAAAUUAUUAGCAAAAACAGUAGAAAUUACUUCAAAUUUGUAGAGAGAACAUAUAAAUUAUAUUCUAGAGAAAGAGCAUCUGAAUUAUAUUCUACAGAAACACGAGCCCAUAGUAUAUGUACUGAGUAGCAAUGACAGUGAAAAAGGGAAUAGUAAGUAACUAAUCUCAUAAACCCCUUUCUCACAUCUAACCAAGUUCUUUCACAACAUGCAAAAGCAUCAAAAUAUUUAAGAAAACUUCCAAUAUUGCAUUUGGAACUCAUUGAUUGACUUCAACGUUUAAGAGUCCUAAAAGACACAGCUUACUUUCUCACCUCUCACCACUAAACCUAUGGCAACAUCUUUUUAUAAGAUAUUAAGCUAAUCUUUAGAUUGUUUACCGAAUAAUCGUCUAUUGUUUUGUAAUUGAUCCCACCAAGCGCUUACGCCACCUUGAAGUUUGAGAGCAACUAAUCGAACCUUCUUGUGUUCGGGUGUAUUGGCAUAGUCGAAAAAAAUUUCUACGUUCUUGAUCCAAUCAAGAAACUUCUCCACGUCCAUUUGACCAUUGAAGGUAGGGAGAUCCACUUUCAUACGUAUUUCUUGAUCUUCUUGAAAGUAUGGUCGAAGUCCAAGCCUUUGUUGAGGUUCUUGAUGAAUGUUCAGCAAGUUGUUCAUCGGAAGAGUCAGAAUCGUUUAAGAAAUUUCCAAGUACGUUGUUUCCAUACAAUCGAUUAUUGUUGAUGUGAAUAGGUUGAUUUCUUAGUAGUUCUUGGUUUACAACAGGGUUUAUUGGUUUUUCUUGUCUUUCUUGGUUUGCUGCAAUUGGGUUUCUUGGGGGCUGAAUUGCUUCUUCUAAAGGUUGGACAUGAAAUCGGGUAAAAAGGUUUGUUAAUUCUACUAACGAUUGCUGUAUAUUCGAUUGCCCUUUUCGAAGUUCUUCAAUAGCUUGUUCUACCAACUGCAAGCGUUGGUUGAAGGAGGCUUCCGCGUCCAUGGAUAAGAGUGGUAGGAUCCAAGUUUUUUUAGGGAAGAGUGAGCUAGGAUCACGCUCUGAUACCAAUUGAUGCAGUAAUUGCAAAGCUAGAAAUCUUUAUGUAUAAUGCCUCUUUUUUUAUGUCUUAUUAAUGAAAAUGAGAAGCUUUUUUAUAGGCUGGAGAUUACAAGAGUUGUUAAACUAACUUGGGGUUGAGUUAGUUUAACUUGGAGUUGAGUUAGUUAUAACUAACUCAAGAUACAAAAUUGGUAAUUCAAAUAACUAAUCCUAAACUAUAAAAAUGGUAAUUCAAACCCCUCCUCUAGGAUAAAACUCAAGAAACAUCAAGAAGGUAGAUGUUCUACAUCAAAGUGUAGAGAACGAUUCAAAAUCCUUGGUGAAAGGAAUGAAUGUUAACUAAUGUGUGUUUAUGUGAAAUUGUUAUGUUAUGAGUAUGUUAAGGAUAAAGAAUGGUUUAUGCGAGAUAAAAUUAUUUGAUGUUGUUUAUGCGAAAUGAUGUCUAUGAAAAGGUAUUGCGAAAAGGAUUUCAUAAAACCUUAGUCUUUUAGACAUUCUUUCAAAAAUUCAUCUUCCAAGAUGAGGUGUUUAGGCCAAGUAGAGAAGAAGGUUGAAGGAUUUGCAGCGAGAUGACCAGACGUUUUGAAAAUAGUUAAGCAUUGGUUGUUUGGUCAAAGUGUUGUAAUUAUGUAUCAAACACAUGUUAUUAAUAAACAUCUUGGUAGGUAUUUAUUAUACUAAAGUCAAAGUGUUGGACUUUAGUAUUGCAUGGACAUACAAUUUUGAAUGAAAAAUCCUUAUAAAUGGGGCCUUUGAACUCAUUUGAUGGGUUGGCUAUUAUAUUUGGGCUUUCACACCAAAUGGAAUUUCUUUUUCUUAUUUACUUAAAAAAAAAAGAAAAUUUACCACGCCCAUUUUUUUCAUCUAUUUCUCUCGUCCGGUUCUUUCAUCCAACGGGUCCCACAACUCGAUUAUGAGUCUAGAGGAUACUAAGUCAAACUUAGUGGUUGUUCGAAUAAAACGCAGCUUCAAAUGUAAGUAUUCUAAAAACCUUAUUUUUUGGUUUAGUCUCGUUAACUAAGCCCAAUUAGGGUAGAAUUUCGAUUCUUUUUCUGUUGUGCAUGUCUUAGUUCUAUCAGUAACUCCUUUCAGGGUGAUAGCUCUCAUCAGCAGACUUUCCAUUGCUGGUUUCUUCCUUAGUCAUCAUUGUAUUGUUGUUUUCCACAAUAGAUAGGGUGAGUUGCAGUUUUACAUGAAAUGCACUGCUCAACCCACACUCUUUUCUCACUAGUUCCUUAUUCUCAAUCUUCAACGCAAAUUUCAUCAUCUGGGCCAACCCAAUCGGUUCCACGGUUUCCACUUCCAUUUUUAUUCAUGGGCUAAGCCCAAUCAUCAAAGUCUCCUCUAACACUACCGUUUGAAGAAAUGCUACCAGAGCUAAAUAUCGAUCAAAUCGGUUGCGGUAUUCUUCUACAUUCAUUUCUGUUUGAUUGAGAAAAAUCUUCCAACCAAAGUUCCUUCUCGAAUUGAUCGAAACUGUACAAGCAUUCGUUCUUUCAGGUCAGCCCAAUUCUUAAAAACUUCCAACUCUUCUUGUGCUUGGUACCAAUCCAAUGCCAGAUCAUCAAAACUAAUAACGCCUGUGGUUAAUUUCUCUGAAUCGGUAAGAUCAUGUAUCUUAAAGAAGCGAUAGGCUCUAAAUGUGAGACCCAUUUCUAAUUUGAGUAAUGAAGUAAAAUUGGCUAGGUAUUAAGAAUUUGGCGUUUGAAUAAAUCAACGAAAAGGAUUAAGCGAUAAAAAAAUUUAUGGUUAAGUAUACGUUAUUGCGAUUCAGUGGGUAGUUCGCGAAGGAAGUUGUGCGACCCAUUUCUAAUUUGAGUAAGGAAGUAAAAUUCGGCUAAGAAUUAAGAAGUUGGUGUUCAAAUAAAUCCAUGGAAAGAUUAAGUGAUAAGAUCUUUUACGGUUAAGUAUACUUUUUUGCGAUAAGUGGGUAGUUCGCGAAAGAAGUUGUGCGAUAAUGUAACACCCGAACUCUAAGGUAAUUAAUUUAAUCGGACCAUUCGAUAUUUUUACUCUUAAUUUUUGUUCGACGUCAUUUUGUUGUUUUGUCUUAAAAAAAAAAGUGUUGGAAAAGUCUUUCAUAAUAAUAAUAUAUUAUUAUUAUUAUUAUUAAUUAGCAUAAAAAAAAGGAAAAGAAAAAGAAAUUAAAAUAUCUUUUUCCUCUCUCCCCUCUCUCACGCGUGCGACACCCUCUCUCCAUCUUUUUCUUCUUCUCUUUCCUGUACCCUAACCCAGCCGACCAUCAUCUUCUCCCCUUCCCUUGCCGUUCAGAUCCAUGGCCUCCGCCCACCGCCGCGUGACCCUCUGCCCAGCCCCGCCGCGUGACCUCUGUCUCCGUCGAAGCCAAGUCCAGCCGUCGUCCAUUCCUUUCCUCUCUUCUUCUCCGUUCGUGAAGCCCAGUCGCCGCGUCAGAUCGUCGAUCGAUUUUGAGGCAGCGCGCACGCCUCCUUCUAGCCGCGCGUUUCCUCUUCUUCCAGCAACGUGUUUUUUCUUCUAACCGCGAUUCACAAACCGACGUACACUCUAAUCUGUUUGCACGAUGGUUUUUGUUUAGAAUCGAUUGCCGCUGCCCCUAUUUUUACUGAGAUCCGUCGAAGUAUUGUUGGUAAGAUUGAAGUUAUGAAAUUGUAGUCGUUUUCAAAACAAUUUAAGUAUGGGUUGUGAUGUUUUCAAGGUGUUCAAACGUUACGGAUGGGUUAAUUGACUAAUUUGAUAAAUUAUUCUUGAAGGUGUGAAAGGUAACCUUGGAUCACUUAAAUUCACAACCAAUUUGUGAAUUUUGAUUUCGAUUUCGUUUGCCCUUAUUUGGAUUGUUUCGUGGACGAUAGUUGAUUAAGGGAGCUUCCCUAACUUUGAGGUAAGGGACUUUCUACUGGACUCACCUAAAGUUUUUGAGUUGUGUUGGACUGUAUGGAUGAUGAUUAAGAUGUACACGUUUGGUUGCAGACUAAAUGUUUAGUGUAUGUUGUAUUUGACUGGAAACAUAUAUAUAAAUACAUUGAUGUGUGAAUUGAUGUGGAUUGCCGAAAGUAUACAUGUGAAUGACUGAAAUUAUGCUUAUGUGUACAUGAUGAUAUUAAUAGAUUGUGCUGUAUAAAGAUUUGGAUGUGAACUAGUGAAUUUGUUUCGGUUGAAUGUGGAUUAUACUGAACUGUGGUUUGCGCUGGUAAAAAUGAGGGGUGUUGUGACUUUGUUGUUUACUUGACAGAUGUAUUAAAAUGUUAUCAACGACCUUCGAACUUAAGUGAGAUAGGUUGACUGUUAGAAUGUUGAGUGAAAGAACUUUAUAUUUUGAAGUAACUGAAAGAUGUCAUAAAUUACCGUAAAGAUGGUUAGAAUGGAUUGAGGGGAAAAAUUGUUAGUUUUAUUGGGAUGUAUGCCUUGUAGGUGUCCUACGGGAUCACCAAUUUUUAUGCGACCUUCGGAGCAUUAGACUGAUAUGUGUUUCUGCAGAACACUAGACUGAAAUGUACGUCCCUCGGGGCGUUAGACUGAAAUGUGCAUCCUACGGGAUCACAAGACUGCGACUGUACAGGGUGUCCCAAUAGAAUGUUAACAAUUUAUUUUCCCCUGACGGGACCAGUAGAGGGUCUCUUACUGGGUAUUUUUAUACUCACCCUCCUUAUGUUUAAUUUUUCAGGCAAAGGUAAUAAAGGCAGCAAACCGGCGAGGGGCAGGAAGGAAGCGUGACCGCCACAGGGGACACUUUAAAAUUUUGCUUCCGCUUAGUGAUUUAUAGUAUUAUUUGUAUUCGAACGUGAGACUGUUUAGAAAAUUUUGAAGUUUUAAAGUAUUCAAAGAUUUGAAACUUUUUAGUUUUAAAUUUUCAUGUGAAUUUUAGUAAUUUAAAACUGGGGCCCAAACAAACAAAAUAAAUUUUGUUCUUUUGAGGUUUUAAAUUUUAAUUAACCAAGGUCUUUUGUCAAAAGUUAAUGACCUCGACUUAGGUAAAAAGUUGGGUCGUUACAGAUAAGAAGCGAAAAAGUCUUUGCGUAAGUUAAGAAAUGAAAGUUUUGAGUGUUAGACUAGGAGUUUUGGGUGGUCUUCGCGAGAAGAACCAAGUGUUUCGUGGAGAAGAAGUCUACGAGGAAGCCUUGGAGUUUAAGUUCGUGAUAAGAGUUUUAUGCGAGUAAAAGUUGGUUAGUUCAGGUGGAACGUUUCUUAUAAUAAAAAUAUAAUCAAGCGAUAAGGUUAUUCACGAGAAAUGUUAAGUGGUUGAAUUUAUUCACGGUUUGGGUUAGGCGGGGAGCAAGGUUUGUAAAGAAAAUGUCAAAUCUGAUUUGACAUGGGUUAACAUGUAAGAUUAAGGAUUUGAGCAUGACUAGGUUAAAUAUUAAGGAUUUGCAUGACUAAGUUAGUAUAAGGGAUCUAUAAAAUAGGAGAAUUUAGGUAACUAAGGAGGGGAUGACGAGAGUUUUGUUGAAAUGUUAAAGUGUUGUUGGUUUAGCCACGCGAAAAGAUGGUUGUGAGAAGGACUUCUUUAGUGAAGUUUGGUGAGUGCUUUUCAGUCAAAAGAAUUUAUGUUAAGAAACUUUAUUACGAUUUCUCUUUACUGAUUUGAAAGAAGAAUUCAGAUGAGAAUGUUUCAGAAAGAUUUCUACGAAAAGUUAUGUUUUCAAGCAUUAUUUAUAAUAUUAAAGCUUGAUUUGAUGACUAUGAUUUCAAUACUAUGUUUCUUUGAGAUGAUGCUAACUUUUGUGUGCACAUAAAGAGUGAAGGCCACCAUGGAGUGUACAAACUACAUGGUAAUAAGAAGCUGACUUAUGCAUUGAAAUGAGCGUAUAAAGCUUAGCGGUAUAGCAACAAAGACGAAUUUGUAUGUUCUCAGAUGUUGAUACAGUAGUCUAAACGCGAGGUAAUGAGACCAAGCGUAGAGAACGAUUCGGGAUCCUUGACAAAAUGAAAUGAUUUUUUAAGCAUAAAGAAAGGUUUAUUCGAAAUGAAAUAAUUUUUCGGUAUAUUUAAAUGAUUUGAUAUUAUUUUUACAAAAUGAUUAUGAAAAGGUAUUGUGAAAGGUUUUCAUAAAACCUUAAAGGAUUUAAAAAAAAAGUGGACCAUUCAACUUAAUUCCCAUCCACUAUCCUCUUGUCCAACAUGAAACUUUAUCUUAGUAAAACUUCUUGAUCCACUAUUUUACAAAAAUAUUCAAAACAAUACCAUACUACACCAAAUGUGAUAUUUUGGUAACACUUAAAAUGGUCAGAAAUACCAUUUUCCUGACUUUUUUUUCAUCGACCAUUAAAGAAAAAGUAUAGAUGAUGUUUCACAAAAACUUCCAAACCAUUGUGUUAGUUAUCGUUUUGGAUGAGGGUUGGGGUAGAGCAUCAAUACUCAAAGGUUGUUAAGAAUUAAGACCUAAGACUUGAAAACGAAACCGCCUGCCUGGUUGACAACAACACCAUCCCACUAGAGUGCACAAUGAUGAUUUAUUGCAUUAAGAAGAAGAUGGCAGUUAACCUUAGCGCCAUAAUCAGAACCUCAAUCCUCCCUUUGAUGAAAGCACCUAAAGGUGUCAUGCCUUUCCCCUCUACCACAUUGAAGCUCUUUGUCUAACACUACAAGAAAUGAGGACUCUCUCGAUGCAUAAAAUCAUUGGGAGAUAUAUAAAAAGCGUCAGAAAAGGCUUUUCUGACGCACUAAUAUACGUCGGAACACAAGUGAGGAAAAUGUAUCGGGAGAGGAACUCCGAUGCACAAUGUUGUGCGUUGAGGGUUUCUAGACAUCUUCCGACGUUGUAUGAACGUCGAAGAUGUUGUCAAUAUAGCAUCGAGAGAUGUCUAGGAACCAUGCGUCGGGAGAUCCUCUAUUUUUUUUUAAAAAAAAUAACUUCAUUUAAUUCCUAAAUUCAAAUUGAAAAUUUUAAAUUCAAACUCAACUUCAACACUUCAACCUCAACUUCAACACUUCAAUCUCAACUUCAACACUUCAAAUUCAAAUUUCUAAAACCUACAACUAAUUCAAAAUUCUAACAACACUUGAAAUUAAAUUUCAUUACUAAAACUUACAACUAAUUCAAAAUCUAAAUACUAAAGAAAUCUAAAAUCUAACACCUAAAACAAAUUUGAAAUCUAAAUACUAAAACUAAUUAACUAAAACAAAACAAUAACUAAACUAAACCACUUACCGAUGGCGACGACGACGGGACGACAACAGGGACGACAAUGGUGAUGACAAUGCCCUCUUCUUCUCAAUCUUCCUCUCGGUCUCCCUCUCCCUCUCUCAUUUUCUUUCUCUUUAUGUUUCCUUUAUGUAAAGAAUGGAGUUAAAAAAGACAGAGAACUCCUGACGCACGACGAAAACGUCGGGAAUAGCACCCUAUUCAUGACCUGAUUUGUUAAACGUCAGAAAUCCCUAAACAUAUUCCCACGCGAUUAAUGAUACGUCGGGAAUCCCUAAAUCUAUUCUCAACGUUGCUGCCACACGUAAGAGGAAGGCGUUACAUACAAUUAAUGAUCUGCCCUUCCUCCGACGGUUCCUAAGCUUUUAGCUUUUCUGCAAUCACCCCUUAUGCAUGUUCUCAGGCGAAUCUCAACCAAACCAUAACACUCCAUCAAAAUAAAGAAGAAGAGAGACACCUCAAAACCUUAAAUAAAGUUAAGGGAGAAGAAUGGAAUGACAGAGAAGAAGAAGAGGCUUCUCCGCUGCCACCACUACUCAAGAGGAGAAAUGUCCACGAUGACGCGUCUAACUCGUAUAAAAAGGAAAAAAGUCGAAAGCUAGACGUGGCCAUCGACCCUAAACCUCUUGCAAUCUGACCCCUAACUCUCUCAUUGCCUCCUCCAAAAUCCAAAUCCUUCAAUUCCAGUCCUCAUCCAAAAAUUGAAACUCCCCCUCAUCAAUCUUACCCAAGUCCUCUCGCAUGUCUAUUAUCCUCUCACCACCAAAUCCCCCAUCAUUAUAACAACAUCCUUCACCUCACGACCUGACCGAACAAGCCCUUACCCGAUCAAAAGGGCAUUGUUAGCGAAGAAGAAUUCCUUAGGGUUGAGGAGGAAGACCUGCAUCACAUUCCUCUCCCUCCGCACACUACUAUACGUAAUUCCAAGGAGGAAGACUUACAUCUCGCGUGUAAACACCGAUACCCAAUAAUCCUUAAUUCAUCUAAAGAACUCAAUAGGACAUUAGGGGUUGAUGUUAGGAGAAAGAUGGUUUAAGAUUGGAUAGUUUAGUUGAAGUGUUAUGGAAGAUGUGUUAAUAUUUUUAAGAUGAUAAAAGAAAAGUGUCAUCGUAACAAAGAAAGGCCUAAAGGGUGUUCGAAAAUUGGCUAAGUGUUGGCUAGGGCAUGUUGCAUACUCUAGGCGGCCAAAAGUGUCAAGCGAACCUCUAAAGAGACAUGUUGGGUGGCCAAAGGUUGAGAUGUGGUAUGGCCGAAAGGUGUCAAGACAACCUCUAUAAGACAAGGCUAUAUGACCAAGGGUAUGCGCUAGGCAAGGAAGCUAAGCAUCUAGGAAAUGUCAAGAAACUCUAAAGAAGUUAGAACGUGGAUAAGGAAUGUCAUGCAACAAAGAGGUGGGCUAUGUGGACAUAGGUCAUGCGGCCAAUGGGGCAAUUCAACCAAAUGCUAGUCAAGAUGGCAUGGUUUGUUGAAGGCAUUGAGGGAUGUUUGGGAGAUUAGGCGAGAAAAAAAAGUCUUAGGCAUUCUUGGCAGUAAGAAUUUACUAAAGAACCCUCAUAGAAAAAGGGAUAUGCGUCCAAGGAUGACUUAAGCAAUAUGAGGUAAGAUGUGCGGUAGAGUACAAGUGGACAACAUACAAGAUACCUAAGUUUUGCCAAAUAAGUGUCUUGCAUGAGUUGGAAAGUGGCAAGUAUGGGCGUAAGAGGUGAGAAAAAAAGGUUCAACCAAAGAGCAUGCAAGGAUCACUAUAUGUACAACUUUGGACGAAUUAUGUUAACAAUCAACUUGUGUUAAUUGGGUAACUCUACUUCGAAAAUCUCCUAAAUUGAGUGUAGUAUCAAGAGAAAGGCUACCAAGAAGAAAGGCAUUGAAGUGAAGAAAGACUCAAAGGUCAUUUUCAAAAAAAAAAAAAAAAAAACUUGAACAAUGUAGAGUAUUUUGAGCUACAUAACUCAAUACUUGGAAUUUGUUAGUGACACUUUGUGGUAAGCUAGUGAAGACAUUCUAAGUAAGUUUGUAGAAGGAAUCUUAUUGAUUUAAGCUUCAAAGUCGAGUUAAGUUUCUGGUAGAAAAAUCAUAUUUCUAGACAAGGCCAUGGGUGGGUUGAUUGCCAGGAUGACAAGGUGAGAUGAGCGUGUGUUUUGAGCGAAAGAGGUUAUUUAGGCUUGGGACAUGCAAGAAGCAUGUCCUGGCAUGAUCAAGCAGCCUGAGCCACGCGUCAUUACACACUCUAUUAUGAAAGUUGAGUAUAUUGCUACUUGUGAAGCAGCAAAAGAAGCAGUUUUGGUGAGGAAGUUCUUGCAUAAUUUGGAAGUUGUUCCAAACAUGAACAUGCCCCAUCACUUUAUAUUGUGAUAAUAGUGGGGCAUAUUACUAAUCCAUUUACAAAGACUCUCAUGGCUAAAGUGUUCGAGGGUCUUCUAGAAAGUCUAGAUCUGCGAGUUAUGUACAUUAGGUAAUCUAGGAAAAGUGGCAGAUGUGUAAUGGGUAUGAGGAUGCCCUAGUUUAUUGUAUUUGUAUAUACACAUUUUAUGUAAUACACUUGUACAUUUUACCAUUUUCAAUGUUAGAGGAUUACUUUAUUAUGAACAUCCCAAAGAGACGAGAGUUUUAGUCCAAGUGGGAGUUUGUUGGAAUUUAUGUCCUAAAACUCGUAGAUUGUAAAUAUAAUCCAUUGACCAUUGUUAAUAAAGUGUUAUUAUUGUAAUAAUUGUUAUUGAUUAUAUUAUUAGUUUUGUCUUAAUAACUCAAAUCCAAUAAACUAACAUCCUAAACUGUUUAAUAAGUAUUGAAUAGUAUGUAGAGACAUACAGGGAUCAAUGUUCGAGAUCAGCUUAAAGGGUCUAUAGUAUACGGAUAAGACUGGGUACCUUUAUCCUGGUAACAUUAUGAAUACGACUCACUUUGUAUUUGAUACAAAUACAAUGAUCCAAUGUGUUCAUGUAGUUGACAUGCGAGUGAAGGUAUCCUAUGCAAUGAGAUUGCAAUAGACUAGACUGUGAAAUAGUAACCACUUGGUGUUACUACAUUAACUAGUUAGGUUUCUAUUUCACUAGGAUGACCUAGAUAACUUAGUCUUAAUCUUGAGUGUAUUAUGAACUCAAUGAUCUUGGAUGAAUUUGACUUCAAAUACAAACUUGGAUUCCACAACCUAAACCAAAAUAAAAUAAUAUAUCAUGUUAAGAUGGAUUCACAUAGCAACAUUUUAUCAAAUGGUUGCAAUGUUUCAAAUAAGCAACAAUUAAAAUUCACAUAUCGAUUUGGCAUCUAUAAAUAUACAAACUAAAAAGUACCUAAAUGUCAAUUAUUUACCCAAUAAGGCUAACUAAGUAACCAACGUCUAAUAUGUUUUGCAAUGAAAAAGGUUGCCAUAUUGUUAAUUUGGCCAUAUUGUGAAGGCAACCUCUUAGAUGUGUUUGUGAGAAAGGAAAGAAAUACCAAAAUAAGUAUGGACUAAGAUAGUAUCAAAUAAAGUUAAAGUUGAAUUUUAAAGCUCUAUUUUUUUCAAGAUAGAGAAAUUUCAGCUAAAGAGGAAAACACUAAGGACAACCAAGCAAAAAAGUCUAACAAAUAUCAAAAGAGAACAUGCAGGAAAGAAAGAAUGUAAAUAAGGUUUUAUCCGCACCAAGCAAAAAAGUCUAACAAGUAUCAAAAGCUUCAUAAGUUGUACUAGAAUUCAAAGCUCUAAACUCUAAAGAAUGUAAAUUUCUUUGAAGAAAUUUGUGUAUAAAGGUCACACAGUUGAAAAUUCAAUACCUUUUCAAGAAUGUUGUUGAGAAGAUUAUUGUGAUGAAUCUUUGAAUCCAAAUUAUGGAGACAAGAUAAAUAAAUGAGUUCUGAUUCUAACUGACUGAAUGAGAGUUUAGAAAAUAAGAACAUUGGAGUUGAAUUAUCAGCAUUUAUUUUAAUCAAACUUACGAUAGCAAACCAAAUUAUAGAGAGAGAUCAAAUGCUAGGAUAAAGGAAUAAUCUUACAUUUGGUGAGUUCCCAAAUGUUGUGGUAGUCACGAGAGUUAUUCCACUCGAAUUGUCUUAGACAAGAGGCUUCCAUUCAGCAAGUACUGGUGAGAAUUAAAGUGGAAUGACAAACUUAAAAACACCUAAUCUUUAACAAACUUUUCCGACUUUUUGCAAUUAUUUUUUAACACAAGAUAUCAAAACACACUUAAAAACCAUAACAACCAAUUACCAUAAAACGGUGUCCAAUAACAAUAAUUGGGUCAACCCAAACAUCAUCAAAUUCUUGGGAAAGGUUGUGGACUAGACCUUCACCAUCUUGCCCCUAAAACAAGUUAAAGCUUAAGGAAAGAACACAGUAGAAACAAAAAUCAUAAACUCAUCAGUUAGAUAGUAUUGGUGGUCAAAACCUCAAGGUCUCACUUCUUCCAUUUUAUAUUACCAAAUUUGAAAAUGAUUUUUAAUAUAUGAUCAUUACUUGAAACAUGUUGGUGUACAAGUGUGAAUGAAACUAAAUCAAGUUUGUGUUUUAUGUUAUUGUUUUUGACAGUAUAUUUAUGUGCUAUGCAAUCCAUGAGAGUAUAUUUAUGUGCUAUGCAAUCCAGAAGGGGGAAUGCAAGCUAUACCCAAUUCAUAAUUGUAUUUGGAACACUAAUGAUUUUAGCACAAAUUCCAUCUUUCCAUUCUCUAAGACAUAUAAACCUUAUCUCCCUCACUCUAUACCUUGGCUAUAGUGCUCUUGCAACAUAUUAAAAUUCUCGUAAUUAAAAAUUCAUACACAAUUUAAAUUAAAUUAAACAUCAAGACCCCUGACGAAGAUGAAUCUCUGUUCAUUUUUCUUUUUAUUAACAAACAAAAGUUUUUAGGUCAACUUCUUUCAACAACCUCCUCAAGGAUCCUUAAUUAUCUCUUUCCAAGUUCAUAACCACUCUAGUCAUGCAAAGAUUAAGGUUCAUGGCCAAUCAACAAUUAAUCUGUGAUUAAGAUAUUAUGAACGCUAUUCACAUAAAAACAUGAAAAGAUUAAGAGCAAAUAAUCAGAUGCAUUACAAAGAAUAAUUCAUAAACUUUGUCUACAUCUAUCCCUAGGAUUAAGAGUUUAGCUACCCCAUACUUCACAAUCUAAAACACAAAACUCAAUACAAUACCCAUAAAAAAAAUUAAAGGAGAAGAAAAAGAAAACGAAGAAGAAAAGCUAGUGAUUCGUAUUAUUAUAAUACUGUGUAUAACAGUAUGUGUUUUUUAAUAUUCUCUGUUUCCAGCUCCAAUGUACCAAAAUAUUAUCACAAACUCCACAAUCCUUCUCUUUCCAAUCCCUAAACUAACCAAUGAAUCAUAUUCGCACGCUUGGUAGCCUUGUUCAAAAUAUUAUAUAUUACAAUUAUAAUAACUUGUAUCCCCCCUUUUCAAGCCUAAAAUGCAAAACCUUUCUUCCAUUCUCUAAGGCAUAUUUCCUCUUCUUUAAUUUUGCAUUCCAAUUUUAAAUUACAAAUUACAAAUUUUAAUCACAAAGGAAAAAAGGAAAAUUAUUACCUUUAGAAAGGGAAGAAAAUAAAUGAGUAACCAUGAAGGAUUUGGAAACGAAUAGAGGUUUAGCGAAAGUGGAAUGCGACAGAAGGACGGUGAAUGUGUUUACUCGUUUUCGAACAGAGAAUGUGUUUACGCAUUCCGAACGGUGAACAGACGGACGCAAAUCAACGAAGGUGAAGGGAACGCAAAGCAGACGGACGGUGACGGACGAUGAACGCAAAUGAAUGAAGGUGAAUGCUUAUGAACGCGAAGGGAAGUCUUUUCCGGCGAUGAACGCAGAUGAAUGCACAGAUGAACGCGAAGGGAAGGUUAGGUGAACGACGCUUUUGAUUUCGGGUGGAGAAGGGACAAAGUCGCGGCGAAUUAGGUUUAAUUAAGAAAAGGGGAAGUGAUCUAAUUGAAACGUUGGGUUUUGUAAAAGAAUAUUAACACAAUAAUUUUUUAGAAAUUUCUUGACGUUUUUAAAACGUCAAAAACAAAUUAAAAUUUCUUGAACUUUUUAAAACAUCAAUGAUUUUUUAGAAUUAUCUUGACGUUUUAAAAACGUCAAGAAUUUUUUAUAAAUUUCUUGACGUUUUUAAAAAUGUCAAGAACUUUUUAGAAUUAUCUCGACAUUUUAAAAACGUUAAGAAUUUUUAUAAAUUUCUUGAUGUUUUUAAAACGUCGAGGAAAACUAUAUAUUAUUGACGUUUAAAAAACAUCAAGAAAGUUGAAUUCAUAAACAUUCUUGACGUUUUUUAAACGUCAAAAAUUAUUAGAUAUUUCUUGAUGUUUAAAAAACGUCAAGAAAAAGUACAUCUUACUUGACGUUUAAUUGCAUAAAAAACGUCAAGAAAAAACGUCAAGAAAGUUGAAAAUUGGCCUUUCAUAAAAAUUCUUGACGCUUUUUUAUUUGAAAUCACAUCUUUCUUGACGUUUUUGGGAAAAAACGUCAAGAAAGGAAAACUACAACCGUCAAGAGAGCCUGUUUUUGUAGUAGUGAUUUUGGGGACAAGACUGAGUGGGGAGUUGGGAUUAUAAUUGCACAAAAUGGAAUUCACUCAUUUCCUACUGUAGGAUAAGUAGAUGAAUGUUAGCUUAAAUGGUGUCUCCAAAACUUAAACAAAGGGCCCGUACUCUCUCUAUGACAUGAGAGGGGUUUUUGUUUAUUAGUAGGACCAUAAACAAGUUGUUCAUUAGAGGAGCACUAGUUUUUAAGGAUUAGAGGUAACAUAGGGGUAAAGCGGUAAAUUGAUCCAACUGGUGUUACAAACACUCGUGAAGGACUAACUUACUAUUAUUGGUCUAUAUCCGUGGACACAGAAAUAUAUUUUUAGUGAGAAGAGUUCAGUUGUGAGUCUUUAGUGGAGUGUACACACAACUAACGAAUAUUGAUUAAUGUGGUUAAUGAGUUUAGCCAAUUAAUCUUAGAUCGUUGUAGCUUCUGAUCUGUAGGUCCACUAGGUCCCUUUCCUAGCUCGUAAAGGGUAAUGAGAUUUAUUUGUAUUAGUUGUAAUUUAAAAUGUUUAAAUUUAACUUGGGAAUUAGUAUAAUGUAUAGUGAUACAUUAUAAUAUAAAGUUUAUCAAACUUUACUAUAUAAAUUUAACUUUGGGGAUGAUUUAAAAUUAAUUUAUGAGAGAUAAAAUAUUUGAAUGAGUUCAAAUAUUAAUUUAAUGUAAAUUGGAUUCAUAUUAAAAUUAUUGAGAGAAACUUAUAUUUGAAUAUGAUUCAAAAUUAAUUUAAGUUAAAUAUAAGAUAAAUAAUUUAAUGUUAUUAGUUAAUUGGAGAAUUAAUUAAUAGUUUAGUUUAAUAUUAUUUAAUUAAAUGUGAUUUCAUUAAUUAUUAACUAAUUGAUUAAUGUUUAAUUAAUCAGUAGAUUUGAAAUAUAUAUUAAUUUAAUUGUUUGUAAAUUAAUAGAAUCUCAUAGUUCUCUUCUACUUCAUUUUUUAUUCCUAGAAGGAAAGAGAGUUAUAAUAUCUAGAAGAAAACAAUUUUCUUAAAAAAUGAAUAUAAUAAAAAAAGAAAAAAUAAGGCUAACGCUAUUGCUCUUUGCAAAAAGAAAAGAGUUUCUCUCAAUAUCUCUAAACUUUUUCCCAUCCCAAUUGGUUCCACAAACCAAUCUUAUCACAGAGGUACUCUUUGCAAUUUAAGCUCUCUUUGCAAUGGACAGUCUUCAAAGUUUUUUUAACGAUGUUUCUAAUGCUUUCCUUUCUCUCUCAUGUUUAAUAAAACAAAUUUCUCUUAAAACCUGUAGGGAGGCUACAUCGUAUCGAAUUUCAUACAACUGACGUGUUCAUCGAGUUACAACAAGUGCCGCACAAUAGUCUGUUCCAUGUUUGAAAAGUUGUGAGUGUGACACGCUGCACAUGAGGUUAGAACGAGACAUGGCAAGGCAAGCUCUACGCGCACCUGCCAACUUCUGCCACAAUAUUUUGUACGCAAGCUAAUGUCUUUGGGCUGUUUUUAUGGUAUUUGGAAAUUUUAAGCAAAGUUUUGAUAUUUUUAUGAUCAACAGGAAUUAAAUGGAAUUAUUUCCCAUUAUUUUCAUUAUUUUAGAUCAGAAGGAGAUCGAACAAAUUUAUAAGCCAAGGGUCCAAGCUACUCUCUAUAAGUGACAAAAAUGAGUUUAAAGUUGAUUUCUAAACAUGAAUUUACUAUCAAAUGUUUCAAGCAUGCUUUGAUGUUUGAAUAUUUGAGGAUACUGACUUAUAAAGUAUUUCCAAAGCAUGAAUUUAGAAACAUUUUGGUAAUGAAAAUUAUAAGCAAUCAUGAUUGUGCUAAGUUAUCAAAAUGUUUAAGCUUGAAAAUAAUAUUAGCAUGUUUUAGUCUAUACCUAAAAUAUUCUAAGAUAUAUAGCAACCCUUCGGGAGAGAUUUUCUUGUGCAUAGAGGUCAUUUGAUUUGGAUAUUCAGUAAAUACCUAGCUUUCCAUCAUUGGUAUUAGAUAAGAGAUGAAGACUUCUAAAGAUGCUUAGUUUCCCAUCUCAAGGGACGAGACCCUGUACGAAUGCCUAGUUUCCAUCUCAUUGUAGUUAUAACGAGAUAGGGCACAAUUGAUGCCUAGAGUUUCAUCUCGUAAGUAUCGUAUCACGGGAUAGGGCUUCUAUGCCUAGUUUAUUGUUUUUCGUCUUGACGAUUCUAGUAUAGCAACUGAAAGGGAAAGUUUGAGAUAAGUUGUUUGAGUUUGAUUUCAUUUAUGUUAAGAGUUAAUUGUUAAAUACUUAUUAUUUCAAACAAUGUUUUAUAAAACAAUCACUCAUUGGGCUAUUUAGCUCACUCUUUGGAUAAAUAUCCCCAUAUGGAUUACGUUGUUUGGAAAAUUAAACUGUCUUUAGUACUUCAAAGAAAACUUCCCUCCCAUGUCCUCUCACCUCAUGUCAUCCCAUUUGUGUUGAUAACAUGAAAAAUAUUUAGCACCUUUUAAUUGAUUAUGUCUUUGUAUCGAAAUGUUGGUUCCGUCUUCUCCAAACAUUCAAUAUUUGUUGGGAUUUUUUGCUCAAUCAAGGCUUAUUCUUGUUUGUUCUCGACCUGCUACCUAUGAUUUAUGAUUUUGUUUUGGACAUAUUAUUUUAUCAUUUUGUUUGGUUUUAUAUUUGUGGCUUUUUUUUUGUUUUGUUUUGUGUUUUGUUUUUUUUUUUUUUUGAAAAGGAGACAACCUCUUUAUUAAUAUUAAAAUAAUAAAAUAAUUAGACAAAAGCUCAUGGUACAAGAGAGUUAUACAAUGAACAUGUAACCAUGGAUCAGAGGGUGCACCUUGGCAUCUCAACUAGGUUGACACCCCCAUAGCACCCUCAUCAUAUCCAACCAAGCUAAAACCCAUAACAAAGGAGUAAUGUCCAAAGGCAAAACAAACACAAAAAAAGCCUUCUAUUUGUGGCUUUUGUUUUGAUCUUGUGUUGUCGCUUUUUGGAUGUGAUGAGGGCGCUAAGGGGGUGUCAACACUCAAACCUUAUGACGUAACAAAUGCAAAUUUUAUGACGUUUUUAGGGGUAGUCCCUCCCAUUACUAGCUCAACACUCAAACGGAGUCUCCUGUAUAAAAUAUAAAAUAAUACAGACACAAAUAGUGAAUGAAAUCUUAUGACGUAACAAAUGCAAAUUUUAUGUAUACUGCAAUUGACUAAAUAUUGAACAAGAAAGCCCAAGGGAAUACAAAAAAAUCCAACGUUUUUAGGGGUCAAUUUGAAAAAUGGCAAAAUUACUUUUUCUUUUCAAUUUUAGCAAACAACAUUUUUUGCACGUGCAUGGUAUUUUAUAAAAUACCAGAAUAUCAACAUUCUUCAACUGUAGUUAUUUCGUUUCUACAUUGUAAUUAAUUUAUGUUAUGCAUUUAUCAGUUUUUAAUUAUCUUUUACUUGAAAUAGAUACAUCAACUCAUAUCAUAAUAUUUUUCUUAAUAUCUCGAGUCUCAACUAAUUAAUUCACAUAUUAAUAACUUUAUUCAAUCAUACUAAUUUCAAAAUAACCUAAUUGAAUUUGAAUUUCAAAAUAACAAAAUUAUUAUUUUUCGGAAUUUGAGAGUCUCAACGAUAGAUUUUGUAUUAAAAUAACCUUAAUUGAAUUUCAAAAAUAAAAAAUAUCAACAUGUUCACUAUCUUUAUCUCAAAAUAACAUUAAUGCCUUGAAUAUCAAGAUAAUUAAAUUAUUAUUUAAAAUUGGAAGAAACUCAACAUUAAAAAAUAUUAACUUGUUCGCACACAAGCAUAGAAGCACUGCGCACACACGUACACAUGCACACUUACACACACGCGCACACACGCACAUCUACACACAGACACCCACAGACACACGAACGCAUGCACAUACACAUGCACACGCGCACGCAUGCACAUACACAUGCACACGAGCACGCAUGCACACGCACACACCUAUCCACACGCGCGCACAAGCACACACACAUGCACAAACGCACACACGCGUACGCACAAACGCACACACUUAUACACAUACGCACACGCGCACAAACACGCACGCACGAGCACACACACACCUAAGCACACACGCAAUAGCCUGCGCACACACACGCACGCACAAACACAUACAAACAUGCACACACCCACACAUAUAUGCACACGGACACUCGCAACAAACGCACGCACAUACACAUACGCACACCUACCUACACGCACACACGUACACACGCACAUAUGCAUAAAGAUGUAUAAAUGAGUUAAAAUUAAAAAAAAACUACAUUAAUUGUGUUUAGAAGGACUUUUAAACCAUGUUCAUUUGACUUAAUAACAUUAAUUAAACUAUAAUUUCUAUCAAUAUUGGCUUAAAAAGUGUCAUUCGUGUAAUUAUUUCAAUAUAAUGCGAUUUUAUCCAAUUCUAUUUGCAACAAACAGGUCGAAUAUGAACCAGUAGAUAUACAUGUCAUAAGAGAUAUAGGAACAUUUUUAUGGUCAUUUUGAAAAAUGCAAAACUUUUUGUAACGACCCAACUUUUCUAGGUAAGUCGAGGUCAUUAAUUUUUAAUAAAAGACUUUGUUGAUACAAAAUGAAGCGUAAGUCAAUUUAAAAAAAAAUAUGUCAGGCCUGAUUUUCAAAUAUCAAGAAAACUUAAAAAUAACACUAUUUACAAAUAAAAGUUUGUAAACUAAGUUUUUAGUACAUCUUAAACCUUAAAAGAAACAUAAGCGGAAGCAAAAUACACAUUUCCUAUGGCAAUCACGCUUCCUUCCUGCCCCUCGCCGGUUUGCCACCUUUAUUUCCUUUGCCUGAAAAUUAAACAUAAGAAGGGUGAGUAUUUUAAAUACUCAGUAAGAGACCCUAUACUGGUCUCGUCAGGGAAAAUAAAUUGUUAAAGUUCUAUUGGGACACCCUGUACAGUCGCAGUCUUGUGAUCCCGUAGGAUACACAUUCAGUCUAACGCCCCGAAGGACGUACAUAUCAGUCUGACGCCCCGAGGGACGUACAUAUCAGUCUAACGCCCCGAGGGACGUACAUAUCAGUCUAACGCCCCGAGGGACGUACAUAUCAGUCAAGUGUUCUGCAGAAACACAUAUCAGUCAAAUACUCCCGAAGGUGCAAAAUAAAUUGGUGAUCCCGUGGGACACCUACAAGGUAAACAUCCCAAUACAACCUAACAAUUUAUCCCCUCAUUCCAUUCAACCCAUCUUUCAGUUACUUCAAAUCACAAAGUCCUUUCUUUCAACAUCCUAACAGUCAACUUAUUUUACUACAGUCAUAUGUCUGUCAAUAAUAUGCUAAUACAUCAGUCAAUCACUAUACAGUCAAGUCAAUACACCCCUCAGUUCACCAGCACAAACCACAGUUCAGUAUAAUCCACAUCCAACUGAAACAAAUUCACUAGUUCACAUCCAAUCUUUAUACAGCACAAUCUAUUAAUAUCAUCAUGUACACAGAAGCAUAAUUUCAGUCAUUCACAUGUAUACUUUCGGCAAUCCACAUCAAUUCACACAUCAAUGUAUAUAUAUAUGUUUCCAGUCAAAUACAACAUACACUAAACAUUUAGUCUGCAAUCAAACAUGUACAUCUUAAUCAUCAUCCAUACAGUCCAACACAACUCAAAAACUUUAGGUAAGUCCAGUAGAAAAUCCCUUACCUCACUUUUAUGCAAGUUCUUCAAUCUACUAAAUCCAAUGAAUCAAAUCCUAAACAUAAUCAAUCAUAAAAUCAACAUCUUUCUAAAUAGUUUCAACCAUUCAAAUUACCCCAUAUGUAAAUUCCACAACUUACCCAAGAAGUGGAAAAUCAAGUCCACUUCAACCUUUUGGAAAAUCAAGGAUUCGCUCACUGAAUCAAGAUGUACCUUCAAGAAUUAAGCAUUUCGCCAACAAUUAAAUCCAAUGGCAGCAUCCAACAAAAACCAAGAAACCAACAAAAACCAUAACUUGUUCUUACCCAAAUAUGAGCCCAAUGGUUCACGGCGAGGCAGAUCUGGACGACGAUUUGCUUUGCGAGGGAGGCACGACGGUUGUGAGCGAGAGGCACGACGGUUACAGGCGGAUGGGCGCGACGGUUUAGAUCUGAAGAAGAAAAGAGAGGGUGGCGGUUGGGUUCGGCGAGCGGCGGCGGUUUUGCUUCGCGAACGGAGAUGGAGACGGCAAUUCGGCGCGCGGGACGACUGCAACGCAAAUCUGGACUGGCAGCGGCACGGUCUUGCUUCGCGGCUGGGUAUGGUGAAAAAGAAAGAGAAACGGAAGAAGAGAAGUCUCGGGUGGCGGUUGCUGGGCUACGGCGGUUGCUGGGCUGCGGCGGAAGGAGAAAAUGGAAGGAAGAGAUCGGCGGAAAGAAGGAGAAGAUGGAUGGGAGUCACGAUCGCACGGGAAGAAGAAGGGAGAAAAGAAAAGAAAAGAAAAGAAGAAAAGAAAAAUAAUAAAGAAAUUUUUAAUAUAAAGUAAAAUAAAAAUAUAUAUAUAUAUAUAUAUAUAUAUAUUACCUUUUUGGGCAUUACAUUCUUCCCUCCUUAAGAAACUUUCGUCCUCGAAAGUUCUAAUCCUGAAAUAACUCUGGAUAACGAGUCCUCAUUUCUUCCUCUCGCUCCCAUGUCGCCUCUUCAAUUCGAUGAUUCCGCCACAAAACCUUUACUAAUGGAAUGCUUCUAUUACGAAGCAUCUUUACCUCUCUAGCCAAAAUCUCCACAGGUUGUUCAACAUAGCUCAAAUGCUCGUCAAUCUCCAAGGUUCAUAGUCCACUACAUGAGAUGUAUCGGCCACAUACUUCCUCAACAUCGAAACAUGGAAAACAUUAUGAACUGCAGAGAGAGAUGGUGGUAAUGCCAAGCGAUACGCCACAACACCAACCCUCUCUAAGAUCUCAAAUGGUCCAACAAAACGAGGACUUAACUUUCCCUUCUCAAAACGCAUAACACCCUUCAUAGGUGCUACCUUCAAGAAUACCUUUUCUCCCACAUCGAACUUAAGGUCUUUUCGCCGUACAUCUGCAUAACUCUUCUGUCUACUCUGCGCUGUUUGCAUACGCGUCCUAAUCGUUUGAAUAGCCUCAUUAGUAGACCGAACUAAUUCAGGUCCCAUCAAUCUAUGUUCACCAACCUCACUCCAACAAACAGGGGUUCUACAACAUUUGCCAUACAAAGCCUCAAAUGGUGCCAUACCGAUGGUAGCCUGGAAACUGUUGUUAUAAGCAAACUCCAUCAAAUGUAGAUGAGAGUCCCAACUACCUGGAAACUCUAUAACACAAGCUCGUAGCAUAUCCUCUAAAACUUGGUUCAAACGUUCAGUUUGACCAUCAGUCUGUGGAUGAAAGGCUGUACUGAAAUCCAAUCUCGUACCCAUAGCAGUCUGAAGUCCCUUCCAAAACUUGGAAGUAAACCGUGCAUCCCUAUCAGAAACAAUCGAUACAGGCACUCCAUGCAGUCUCACAAUCUCAGUUAAAUACAACUCUGCCCACUUACUAGCAGUAUAAGUGGAUUUUCCUGGUACAAAAUGUGCCGAUUUCGUAAGCCUGUCUAUGACAACCAGAAUCACUGUGAAACCCUUCAGGGUCUUAGGCAGCCCUGAAAUAAAAUCCAUCGACACAUUCUCCCACUUCCACUCUGGCACACUUAAGGUUGUAAUAAACCUGCUGGUUUCUGUCUAGGUGCCUUAACUUGCUGACAUACUAGACACUUACUAACAAAUUCCGCCACUUCCCUUUUCAUAUUCCGCCACCAAUAAAAUCGUUUUAGAUCCUGAUACAUUUUCGUGCUACCAGGAUGCAUGGAAAAUGGGGAAUUAUGGGCUUCAUCUAGUAAGUCAAUCUUAACUGUACUGUUCGCUGGCACACAUAAACGUCUCUCAAACAUCAACCCACCAUCAGAGGAUAUGGAGAACUCAUCAGUCUGCCCUGUUUCAACAAGGCGACGUCUCUCCAUCAAAUAAGGAUCAUUACUCUGAGCAUCAACAAUCUUGUGCCUCAGAGUCGGUUGCACCGUUAAUUGAGCUAGCUGUGAGGUGACUCUCCCCACAGACACUGCAAUCUCAGCUCUCUCCAAGUCUCGAUGCAAUGGUACCUGUCUAGUAAUGAGUGCUGCCGAAUGUGAUACUUUUCUACUAAGAGCAUCAGCCACCACAUUCGCCUUACCAGGAUGGUAUAAUAUCUCACAGUCAUAAUCUUUUACCAACUCGAGCCACCUUCGCUGUCUCAUAUUCAACUCCUUCUGAGUGAAGAAGUACUUUAGGCUCUUAUGGUCAGUAAAGAUUUGUAUCUUUUCACCGUACAAGUAAUGUCUCCAUAUCUUCAAUGCAAAAACCACUGCUGCCAACUCCAAAUCAUGUGUGGGGUAGUUCUGCUCGUGACUCUUCAACUGACGAGAGGCAUAAGCAACCACCUUACCUUUCUGCAUCAAAACACAACCCAGUCCUUUCUUGGAAGCAUCACUGUAAAUCACAAAACUUCCAGAUCCAUCUGGUACAGUAAGGACCGGUGCAGUAACUAACCUUUGCUUUAAGUUCUGAAAACUAUCCUCACAAGCUGGACUCCAAACAAACGGAGUUCCCUUCCUUGUCAACUGAGUCAAAGGAGUAGCCAAACGUGAAAAAUCCUCCACAAACCUCCGGUAAUACCCUGCUAAACCCAGAAAACUACGAACCUCACUAACUGUGAGGGUCGAGACCAACUGGUAACCGCUUCUAUCUUUGCAGGGUCUACUGAAACUCCCUCACUGGAAACCACAUGACCAAGAAAAGCCACCUGCUUCAACCAAAAUUCGCACUUAGAACUUAGCAUACAGUUUAUUGACUCGAAGAGUCUCUAACACCUUAUGUAAGUGUUCCUCAUGUUCGGCUUCAGUCUUGGAAUAAACCAAAAUAUCAUCAAUGAAGACUAUCACAAAAGUGUCCAAGAAAUCCUUAAACACCCUGUUCAUCAAAUCCAUAAAUACAGCAGGUGCAUUAGUCAAACCAAAAGACAUUACUAUGAAUUCAUAAUGUCCAUACCUCGAACGAAAAGCAGUCUUAGGAAUAUCACGGUCUCUAAUCCUCAACUGGUGAUAACCUGACCGUAAGUCAAUCUUAGAGAACACCGUGGCUCCCUGUAACUGAUCGAACAAAUCAUCGAUUCUGGGUAAAGGAUACCUGUUCUUGACUGUUACUUUAUUCAACUCUCUAUAGUCAAUGCAAAGACGCAUCGACCCAUCCUUCUUCUUCACAAACAAUACUGGUGCACCCCAAGGUGACACACUAGGUCGAAUAAAGCCUUUGUCAAGCAAUUCCUGUAACUGUACCUUCAGUUCUUUCAACUCAGCAGGAGCCAUCCUAUAAGGGGCUCUAGAAAUAGGAGUAGUGUUUGGCUCCAACUCAAUGGCAAAAUCAAUCUCUAUGUGGCGCAGUCCUGGAAGAUCUUUUGGAAAUACAUCUGGGUAUUCUCUUACCACAGGUUCUGAAGUUAAAGAAGUCUCACCUUCCCUAGUAUCCACCACACUUGCCAAAAUACUCCAAGUACCCUGGCUGAGUAGUUUACUAGCUUUCAUAGCUGAGAUUACUUUAGGCAGUACUACUGUUCCUACUCCCUUGAAUUUAAAGCUAGAUGCAGUAGGGGGACUAAACACAACUUCCUUACGAGAACAAUCAAUACUAGCAUGAUUAGUAGCUAGCCAAUCCAUACCUAAAAUUACAUCAAAGUCACGCAUAUCUAAUACCAACAAGGUUACGUCCAGCACACGACCAGCUAUCUCAAUUUCACAUGCUUUAAUCUUUUCCUUAGACAACAUAAUUUCUCCAGACGGUGUAGACACUGACAAAACAUAGUCUAAGGGUUCCACCUCUAAGCAUGCAUGCGUCACAAAAAGCGAUGAAAUAAAUGAAUGAGAAGAUCCCGAGUCAAACAAGGUCAAGGCAAAAUGCCCUAAUACUGGUAAUGUACCUGUCACUACUGUGCCGGCCUUCUCUGCCUCUGAUCUAUUAGUGGCAAAGAUUGUACCCCGCUGUGGAGGUCUCUCUCCCUGACUGCUCGAUCCAGCCCCAGUAGAUCUCAAGGGACACCUAUCAGCCAUGUGUCCCUCUUGCUUGCACUUAUAACAGACUCUCGUUCCCAUCAAACAACGACCCAGGUGGCGUUUCCCACACGUAUUACAUACUGGCCUCUCUUGAGUAGUGUCUCCUGCACCGCCAGAACUCUGCUGGAAACUGCGAAAAGAAUCACCUGGUCUCAUGUUCCUCUGAGGAACUCCUACAGUUCUCUGCUCUACUUUUCUCUUUUGACCGACGACGAUCCCUUAUUAAAGCUCCUUGGCUGUCUUUCAUCCUUCCCAAUACUCAUAUCCACUGCCAGACGCAGUGCUUCAGCUUGGGUAGUGGGCUUUAGUGCUCGCACAAAACCCCUAAUUUCAUCUCUCAAUCCCUUGACGAACCUAUCAGCUCUAGCCUGCUCAUUACUAACAAGCUCAGGGGCAAAACGUGACAGCAUAUCAAACUCCUGGUCGUACUCCUCGACUGUCAUAUAUCCUUGCUUCAACUCCAAGAAUUCCUGGCUUUUGGCGUCUCUAAGGUUAGCCGAGAAAAACUUGGUAUAGAAGCAGUUCUUAAACUGAUCCCAGGUAAUUUGCCUCACAUCUCCACCUAGCAUGCGCAUUGUAGUCCUCCACCAGAUAAUGCCUCUGUCCCUCAGUAGAAAAGCAGCACACUGAACUCUGUGCUCCUCGGACAUCUCAUGUAAUUAAAUAUGGUUUCCACAGAGGACAACCACAUUUCAGCUUUAGUAGGAUCCUCCAGUGACCCAUCAAACGUCUGAGGGUCAUACUUCCGAAAGUCCCUCAAAUGUUUCGCCUCAGCAGAAAGUUGGUUAGGUAAUUCUUGUGCAGGAGGGGCUGCUGGUGCAGGGGAACUACAGGUGCAGGUGGAACCAGGUGCCUGCUGGUUUUGAGCUAUAGCUGUCAUAAGUUCUGUAAACCUCUGCUCCAUGUGAGCAGACAGUGCAUCAAACUCAACGUGAGUCACGGGUGCAGCAGGAAUUCGCUGUUCAGCUUGACCCUCAGUAGGCUGAUUACGACCUGCUCCUCUACCUCGGCCUCCUGCUCUCUACGACCUCCUCUACGUACUUCUUCCCUUGGCGGCAUAAUUCCUAUUACCACCAACAACACUCUUUAACAAAAUCUUAAUCAUAAACAUAAGCAAGUCUUUAUCGUCAUGCAAUCUAGUUUAAUUUAGGCAAGGUCAUGCAAAUAAACCAUACAUAUAAGCAUCAAGCAUACCUGACGAGAGACGAAGGGUCGCGUUAGCCAUAGGAACACAAAAACAUAGACUUACAUCGUAAGUCAGUCUACAGAACCUAAAACUUAGGCUCUGAUACCAACUGUAACGACCCAACUUUUCUAGGUAAGUCGAGGUCAUUAAUUUUUAAUAAAAGACUUUAUUGAUACAAAAUGAAACGUAAGUCAAUUUAAAACAAUCUAUGUCAGGCCUGAUUUUCAAAUAUUCAAGAAAACUUAAAAAUAACACUAUUUACAAAUAAAAGUUUGUAAACUAAGUUUUAGUACAUCUUAAACCUUAAAAGAAACCAUAAGCGGAAGCAAAAUGACACAGUUCCUAUGGAAUCACGCUUCCUUCCUCCCCCUCGCCGGUUUGCCACCUUUAUUUCCUUUGCCUGAAAAUUAAACAUAAGAAGGGUGAGUAUAACAAUACUCAGUAAGAGACCCUUACUGUCUCCGUCAGGGAAAAAUAAUUGUUAAAGUUCUAUUGGGACACCCUGUACAGUCGCAGUCUUGUGAUCGCGUAGGAUACACAUUUCAGUCUAACGCCCCGAAGGACGUACAUAUCAGUCUAACGCCCCGAGGGACGUACAUAUCAGUCUAACGCCCCGAGGACGUACAUAUCAGUCUAACGCCCGAGGGACGUUCAUAUCAGUCUAGUGUUCUGCAGAAACACAUAUCAGUCAAAUGCUCCCGAAGGUGCAAAAUAAAUUGGUGAUCCUGGGACACCUACAAGGUAAACAUCCCAAUACACAACCUAACAAUUUAUCCCUCAUUCCAUUCAACCCAUCUUUCAGUUACUUCAAAUCACAAAGUCCUUUCUUCAACAUCCUAACAGUCAACUUAUUUUACUACAAUCAUAUGUCUGUCAAUAAUAUGCUAAUACAUCAGUCAAUUCACUAUACAGUCAAGUCAAUACACCCCUCAGUUCACCAGCACAAACCACAGUUCAGUAUAAUCCACAUCCACACCGAACAAAUUCACUAGUUCACAUCCAAUCUUUAUACAGCACAAUCUAUUAAUAUCAUCAUGUACACUAAGCAUAAUUUCAGUCAUUCACAUGUAUACUUUCGCAAUCCACAUCAAUUCACACAUCAAUGUAUAUAUAUAUGUUUCCAGUCAAAUACAACAUACACUAAACAUUUAGUCUGCAAUCAAACAUGUACAUCUUAAUCAUCAUCCAUACAGUCCAACACAACUCAAAAACUUUAGGUGAGUCCAGUAGAAAAUCCCUUACCUCACUUUUAUGCAGUUCUUCAAUCUACUAAAUCCAAUGAAUCAAAUCCUAACAUAAUCAAUCAUAAAAUCAACAUCUUCUAAAUAGUUUCAACCAUUCAAAUUACCCCAUAUGUAAAUUCACAACUUACCCAAGAAGUGAGAGAAUCAAGUCCACUUCAACCUUUUGGAAAAUCAAGGAUUCGCUCACUGAAUCAAGAUGUACCUUCAAGAAUUAAGCAUUUCGCCAACAAUUAAAUCCAAUGGCAGCAUCCAACAAAAACCAAGAAACCAACAAAAACCAUAACUUGUUCUUACCCAAAUAUGAGCCCAAUGGUUCACGACGAGGCAGAUCUGGACGACGAUUUGCUUUCCGAGGAGGCACGACGGUUGUGAGCGAAGAGGCACGGCAGUUACAGGCAGAUGGCGCGCGACGGUUUAGAUCUGAAGAAGAAAGAGAGGGUGGCAGUUGGGUUCGGCGAGCGGCGGCGGUUUUGCUUCGCGAACGGAGAUGGAGACGGCAGUUCGGCGCGCGGGACGAUGCAACGCAAAUCUGGACUGGCAGCGGCACGGUCUUGCUUCGCGGCUGGGUAUGGUGAAAAAGAAAGAGAAACGGAAGAAGAGAAGUCUCGGUGCGGUUGCUGGGCUACGGGCGGUUGCUGGGCUGCGGCGGAAGGAGAAAAUGGAAGGAAGAGAUCGGCGGAAAGAAGGAGAAGAUGGAUGGAGUCAGAUCGCACGGGGAAGAAGAAGGGAGAAAGAAAAGAAAAAGAAAAAGAAGAAAAAAAAAUAAUAAAGAAAUUUUAAUACUAAAGUAAAAUAAAAAUAUAUAUAUAUAAUAUAUAAUAUAUAUAUAUAUAUUUACCUUUCUUUGGGCAUUACAUUUUUUUUUUAAUUUUAGCAAAUAACAUUUUUUGCACGUGCAUAAUAUUUAUAAAAUACCAAAAUAUCCACAUUCUCCAACUAAAAUUAUUUUGUUUCUAUGUUGUAAUUAAUUUAUAUUAUGCAUUUAUCAACUUUUAAUUAUUUUUUACCUGAAAAAAGAUACAUAAACUCAUAUAUAUACUUUUUUCUUAAUAUCUCGGGACUCAACUAAUGGAUUCAAGACUUUAACUUUAUUUAAUCUUACUAAUUUCAAAAUAACCUAAUUGAAUUUGAAUUUCAAAAUAACCAAAUUGAAUUUCAACAUAACAAAAUUAUUAUUUUUCAAAUUUGAUAAUCUCAGAAAUAGAUUUUGUAUCAAAAUAACUUUAAUUGAAUUUCAAAAUUAAAAAAUAUCAACUUAUUCACUCUUUAUCUCACAAUAAUAUUAAUGGCUUGAAUAUCAAGAUAAUUAAAUUAUUGUUUUUAAAAUUGGGAGAAACUCAACAUUAAAAAAUAUCAACUUAUUCACACACAAUCACACGCGCACACACAUACAUACACUUGCACGCACGUGCACCCAUACACGCACACACACACGCGUGCACACACACACACACACACAAACGCACACAUGCACACGCACACCAAACCGCACGCACACAAAUACACACACACACGCACACUAAUGGUUCAAUUUCAUCGAUUGUUCCUAUUUUUCUGACAGUUUAUUUUUGCCAUCGAUAGAGGAUCUUCCGACAGACCUGCGUGACGGUGUGUGUUGACAGCUUAAUUUCGUUGGCAAAAGAAAAGUCGAUUAGUUUUUGAAGAUUUACUGACGAUAUUUGUCAUCGACAAAGGGUAAAUUUCUUGUAGUGCAUGUACAUCAAACAUAUCAAAUUUGUUAAGUGUACCAAUGAAGUAUAAGAAGUUUAUUAGUGGUGUAUCAAGCGUAUCAAACUUAUAAGUGAAGUCUUUAAGUGUAUCAAACUAAUCAAGUGUAUCAAGGUCUCAGGGUAUCAAGUGUAUCAAGAAGAAUCAAGUGUAACGAGAAGUAUUAUGUGGAACGAGAAGUAUUAUGUGUAUGAAGAUGUUUCAGGUGUGUAUCAAAAAGUAUCGAGUGUAUCAAUGAGUACCGAGUGCAUGAAUUGUAUCUAUCAAAUGUAUCAAGUGUAUCAGUAAGAAAUAUCAAGUGUAUCAAGCGGUAUUAGGUGUAUCAGACGUGUAUAAGGUGUAUCAAAUGUACAUCAAUAACGAGGGCAUUUGUGACAUUUUACCUCUUGAUGUGUGAGUUGGUCUUUGUUUUUGUCAUUUUCUCAAAUAAUAAAGUAUGUGUUCUAUGAACUUAAUUAUUAUAACUUACACUACUACAAAAACAGGCUCUCUUGACGUUUGCAGUUUUCCUUUCUUGACGUUUUUUUCAAAAAACGUCAAGAAAGAUUUCAUUUUUAAUAAAAAACGUCAAGAAAUUUUUUGAAACAUCAUUCUUGACGUUUAUUAAAUGUCAAGUAAAAUAAAUUUUUCUUUGACGUUUUUAAAACAUCAAGAAAUAUCUAUUAAUUUUUUGACGUUUUAAAACGUCAAGAAGCGUAUGAAUUCGACAUGCUUGACGUUUCUUAAACGUCAAGAAUUUAAAAUUUUACUCGACGUUUUAAAAACGUCAAGAAAUUCAUAAAAUAUUCAAGAAUAUUUUUUAAAUUACACUGAGAAGGUAUCGAAUUUUAAUUUUCAGCUCUAACAUUUUUCCUAAUCUACUUUUUUCUUCUUCACGACUGAGUAUUCGAGGGAGUCAUUUUUUGAAUUUGUUGACAUUUUUUAAACGUUAAGUAAGAUCAUUUUUUUUUUUACAUUUUAAAAAUGUCAAGUGUUAUUAAAUAAAUAUAAAAAAUAUAUUGGGCUAAUUUUAUUUCUUUAAAAUCUCUUUAAAUAUAUAGAUACAAUAAUAAAAAUCUCUUUAAAUAUAUAGAUACAACAAUAAAAAUUUCUUUAAAUAUAUAUAGAAAAAAAAUAUUGUACUAAUAUUAUUCAGAAUCACUUUAAAUAUAUAUAGAAAAAAUUAUUGUGCAAAUAUUAUUUUUUAAAAAGCCCUAGCCCCUUUCUACUCAAAACACGCGUGUUCCCCUUUCCCUCUCCAGCCGAAAUCCUUCCCAUUCGAAAAAAGUGUGUUCAGCAGUCGUCGUUCGCUUUCAACGCCUAUCCGUUCGCCUUCAACGUCUGUCCGUUCGAUUUCACCGUCGAGUUCCACCUCUUCGAAUCCCUCACGUCCGUCGUUUCAAAGUCCUUCGUCCGCUGCAUUCCAUCUUUCCAAAAUCCCUCAGUGCCUCACGCUACUGCGUGCCCGUCAUUUCGACUUCACCAACGAGUGCCUCACGUUCGUUGCUUCAAAAUCCAUCAUCCACUAAGUUGAGGUUAGGCUUUUAUUUCCCUAAAACAUAUAACAAUUUCAUUAUUCUUCAUUAUAUAAACUCAGAUGGCAUGAUUGGCAAUAAUAGAUAGGAAGGAUGGAGGUGUAAACUUCGAAUUGAUUGAAAUUCGUAUACUUUUAUUCAAUCUUUAAAGUACUGUAGUUUUUCUUCACCAUCAAAUUUUAUUAGGAUUUAAAGAAAACAAAUGAAUGUAUGAACAAAUUUUUGGGAGUGCAUGUCAUAUAAUCAACUUCCCUCUUUCAGUAAUUUUGAAGAUCUCAUAUAACAAUACUACUAAUUGAGAGCUUUGGAGGAUGAGUCAAUUCUUCUCCCUUCGUGAAAAGAAAAAGAAAAAAAGAUCAUGUAUUCUCUUUGUUUGUUACCUUAUGUUGUCCAAGGUUUUGCCUUCUUCCUUAAUAAUUUGGAGGUGUUUUAACUAAUUUUUUCAUUCACCCUCUUUUUGCCAUAGUUGCUUUUGUGUGCAGCUUGAGAUUUUUAAUUCAAUUGUGUGUUUUUACUUUUUUCUAUUGGGUGAAUUCUGUUUUGACUUUUUUUAAGCUAAAUAUAAUUAAUUGUUUCCUAUGGAACCAUAACCUUGAUCUUGGUUAUAGAUUUCAUUUUAAGGUAAAAGUAAAACACUCUUAUUUGAAUGAUUAUGUUGUAUUAUCCAUUGAAAGACUUGGUGUUGUAAUUGCCUUGUCUUCCUCAGGUAUUCUGUUGUAUGGUUGAUUACGAUCUUCAUGAUUGGAAUCUUUGUUUAGUGAAGCUCAUUUUGUUUGAUUUACUCAGUCGUGCAAUUGCUUUCUUUUUUAUGAUCACUUUAAAAAAGAAAUGAGUUUAGUUAGUUCUUUUAAUUUUCUUAAGUUUCAUUUGUAAUGCAUGAAAAUCUCUUAGCAGUAGAAACUGAAGACCAUAAUUGUAGAAGAUUUGUAUAGAUUGGAUUCACAUUCUCAACAUUGGUUAUACAGGCAUUACUUAUCAUUGUCCUUCCACUUUAAUUAUCAAUAGUGACAAUAACUUUAUUUCUCAUUAGAUUUACAAUGAUGGAUAAAUCUUGGAUGCACAAGAGUAGAUUGUCUAAAGAUUAUGAGUUGGGUGUGGAAAACUUCAUCAAAUUUGGAUUUUCUAAUACAACUAGCUCCUAUAUUCGUUGUCCUUGUUUGAAAUGUGGGAAUUGUGAAAAACAUAGUAGAAAGGGUGUUAGAGAUCACUUGUAUGUUAAUGGUAUUGAUGAAAGUUAUAAAUUUUGGUUUUGGCAUGGGGAAGAACUUCCUAACUCAUCCUUCUAUGAUGAAUCUUCAAAGUUUGACACCCAUACAUGUGAAGAUCAGGAUGUUGGAAGUGUAAAAGAAAUGAUUGAAGUUGCUCAUGAGGAGUAUUCAAAAGACCCAACUGGAUUUGAGAAGUUGCUUAUUGAUGCUGAAAAACCAUUGUACGAAGGAUGCAAAAAGUACACAAAGUUGUCUACUCUAGUCAAAUUGUAUAAUUUAAAAGUUAGGUAUGGAUAGAGUGAUACUAGUUUUUCAGAAUUACUUGAAACUUUGAAGGAAAUUCUGCCUAAUACCAAUGAGCUCCCGAAUUCAUUGUAUGAAGCAAAGAAAACAUUAGGUGCAUUAGGAAUGGAAUAUGAAAAGAUUCAUGCAUGCCCGAAUAAUUUUGUCUCUAUAGAAAAGAAUUUGCUAAUGCAAUUGAAUGUCAUGAAUGUUGUCAAUCAAGGUGGAAAAACGUCAAGGAUACAAAUGAAAGGAGAAAGCAAAUUCCCUCUAAAGUGAUAUGGUACUUUCCAAUCAUUCCACGAUUUAAAAGGCUAUUCAGAAGCAUUGAAUGUGCUGAAAACUUGACUUGGCAUUCUACUGAAAGAAUUAAUGAUGGUAAGUUACGACAUCCAGCCAGACUCUCCAGCAUGGAAGUUAGUAGACAUGAAAUGGCAAGACUUUGGUUCUGAACCCAUAAAUCUUCGUUUAGCAUUGUCAGCCGAUGGAGUAAAUCCUCAUGGUGACAUGAGUUCUAAAUACAGUUGUUGGCCGGUAGUGAUGGUUAUUUACAAUCUUCCACCAUGGUUGUGUAUGAAAAGAAAGUACAUGAUGCUAUCAAUGCUAAUUUCAGGACCAAAACAACCAGGGGAUGACAUAGGCAUAUACUUAGCACCACUAAUUGAAGAUUUAAAACUUUUAUGGGAAAGUGGUGUUGAAUGUUAUGAUGCUUAUCGAGAAGAACCAUUCAACUUAAGGUCAGUUUUGUUGUGGACAAUCAAUGAUUUUCCUGCAUAUGGUAACCUUAGUGGAUGUUGUGUGAAAGGGUAUAAAGCAUGCCCAAUUUGUGGAGAUAAUACAAAUUCUAUAAGGUUAAAGUAUGGGAAGAAAAUGGCAUACCUUGGACAUCGUAGAUUUUUGGCACGAAAUCAUCUGUAUCGACGACAAAAGAAGUCAUUCAAUGGUAAAAAAGAACUUGAUACAAUUCCAGAGCCACUUUAUGGGGAGGAUGUGUAUUUAAAAUUGAAAGAUCUUGAAUUUUCUAGAGGGAAGAAGAACCAUAAGAAACGGUUGAUGAACAGAAGUGACAAAAUUUGUUGGAAUAGAUUAUCUUCUUUUUUUGAGUUGCCAUACUGGAAGGAUCUUCAUGUUAGACAUUGUUUAGAUGUGAUGCACAUUGAAAAAAAUGUUUGCAUGAAUAUCUUAGGUACAUUUCUUGAUAUUCCUGGAAAAAGUAAGGAUGGAUUGAAUGCUAGACGCGAUUUAGUUGAUCUAAAACUUCGACCAGAGCUUGCCCCUAUCAGAAUAUGUUACUCCUACUAAUUACUUUCAUUAUGUAAAAAAGACAUCUAAACGUGAGGAUGAGAUUAUACUUGAGAAUAAAGAACUUCGAAGGCGUGUAAGCGAAUUAGAAGCACAUAACCACUCAAACUUGUCUAGACCAUUAUCUGGACAUGGUAGCUGUUCGAAGCCAAAUAUCUUAGAAGAGAGUGACUCGAUGAAAAUAAUCAAAGGGAAGAGUAAGUUGAUGGAUAAAAUCGAAGGGAAAGAGGUGGAGGAGAUCAAUGUAAAUGACGACAAAGUAGAGUUGGACAUCUUUAAGGUAUGUGAUCGAUCCUCUAAUAAACUCAAAUUCUUAAUAUUCAUAUCAUAUUGAAAGUGAAUGUUUUUCUUGAAUUAGGAGAGAGCCUUAAUAAAAAUGACUAAGGAAAAAGAGGUUGUCUGUGAAUCGACGUCAGUUUUGCCAAUGGGAAUGAAGUUGAUUCUCAUAUACGUUGAGAAGAUAAUGGAGAAAGAUUCUAGUAUCACUAUUCCACUACUGUUGGCAUUUUUGGUAUUAGUCGAAAGACUUCUGUUCUCCGAGAGGACAUCAUUGAUCUUUGUAACAUGAAUGAGGUCAAAACAUUUACAUUGGUGGCCUAUAUGACGUAAGUAUCAAUUUCAUUUCUUUAGAUCUAAAUUUAUGUAUCUCGUUUACAAGUUUAUAAUAUUUUGUAGGUACUUGUAUUCAUCUGUUCUUGGUUCGAAGGAAACUAUACAGUAUGUCUUUGUAGAUCCAUCCCUCACCUCUGUCGGACACUCGCAAGAAUCUCGAGUUCGACACUUAUGCAGUAGAUUGAUGGUCUCAAAGAUUAACGAAAUAGUUCUUGCUCCUUUUAAUCCUGGGUAAGUCAAGUUAUUUUAUUACUUGCAUUGCAAAAAACUAGUACUAAUAUUUUGUAUAAUUAGGGGUCAUUGGGCACUGCUGGCCAUAAAUGCAUAUGAUGAUAUAGUAUUUUACCUCGACUCACUAAGGACAACAUCGAAGUCAACUAUAAGAUACGUCACCGACACGUAAGUUAAUCUAGUAUUUCAUUUAGUGUUGAUUCUUAUAUGCAUGUACACAAUAUUUAAACUAUUUGUUCAAUCUUAUCUUGUCAAAACAGAGCAAUAGCGAUGUUUCAGUCACAAAAGAACAUUAAAAAAAGUAGAAAACAAACUUUAUGGCUAACAGUAAAGGUAAGUAUCAACUUUUAAAGUCAUUAAAUUUUUGUAGACUACUAGCAAUUAGGAUUACUUUGUUAUUCAAAUUUGUUGCUUUUAUAUAGUGUCCACUGCAAGGAAGUAUUGAGUGUGGAUACUAUGUGAUGAGGUAUAUGAGAGAAAUUGUGACUAGGGGAAGCAUUGUCAUAUCCGAUGCGGUAUGUUAUAUAUCAAACUAUUGGUUUUGUGAGUUAAUUGGUUUAUUUGUAUAGUCAGUUAAUUCAUUUAAUUUAUUUUGUAUGUUUAUUGAUUGAUACACGAAGAUCAUACUCACAGGCAGAACUACACGAGGUGCGAGUUGAGUUAGCUGACUUUUUGGGUUCUUACAUAUGAUUAUGACCAAUAUUUUGUGAUUCUGAAGUAGGAAAUUUUUUGUUGUGUCGCUUCUUUAUGACCCUAAACUUUAUGUAUAGAAACUUUAGCCGAUAAUUCUUUUGAAUUGUUCAUAUGGAGGAAGGGGGGAGGGGGGUUCAUUCGUAUAUAUUUUUAUUAUUGUUAUAGCUAGCAUGUUUUGUGACUUUUUAAGUUGAUUUGGAUUCAUGGCAAUGUAAUGCCAUAUGAAAUCUAAUGUAAAGCCUAUUUCAUUAUGUAUAUGUAAAGUCUUGGAAUUGAAUAUAUAUGGUGAAUGGUUUUAUUUAUAUAUGUUUGAGAUUUGAAACUAUAUUUGAUGAAUAUCAAAUAUCUAUGAAACUGUUGUGGACAAUUACAGGAUAAUUACAGGACAAUCAGAAUAUAUUUCUUUCCAUUACAGCAUAAUUCAAUUACAAUUUCUUUUUUUAAAAAAAAUUAAAAAAUGCUUGACGGUUUUAAAAUGUCACGAACAAUUGCAAGCUUGACGGUUUUAAACUGUCAUGAACAAUUGCAUUUUUACGGUUGACAAAUGUCAAAACAAUUACAUUCUUGACAGUUUUAAAAUGUCAUGAAUAGUAAAAUUCUUGACGGGUUUAAAAUGUCAUAAACCAGUUCAUCCUUGACGGCUUUAAAAUGUCAUAAACAAUACCAGUCCUGACGGUUCUAAAACGUCAUGAACAUAAGUAUAUUUGACGUUUAUAAAACGUCAACGUUCACUAUUCUUGACGUUUAAUCAACCGUCAAGAACUUUGCCUUUCUUGACGCUGGCUUCAACGACGUUUUUAAAACCGUCAAGAGAGCCGUCUCUUGAAGUUUAAAAACGUCAAGAGAGCCUGUUUUUGUAGUAGUGUUAUUUUGCCAUUUUCGCAAGUGUCCCUUAAUUGUAAUACAUGUAUAUGUGACAUAAUCUAAUCAAACUAACCAUAAAUGGACUUAAUGUAUCAGGUAUUAGGUGUAUCAGACGUGUAUAAGGUGUAUCAAAUGUACAUCAAUAACGAGGGCAUUUGUGACAUUUUACCUCUUGAUGUGUGAGCUGGUCUUUGUUUUUGUCACUUUCUCAAAUAAUAAAGUAUGUGUUCUAUGGACUUAAUUAUUAUAACUUAUUUUGCCAUUUUCGCAAGUGUCCCUUAAUUGUAAUACAUGUAUAUGUGACAUAAUCUAAUCAAACUAACUCAUAAAUGGACUUAAUCGAUCUCAUGGACCACGAAUUCUUCAAUUACUUGCAAAUUUGGUGAGUUCCUUCAAACAGUGGGCGAAGAGCUUAAUUUUGAGAGAGAGGAAAAGUCGUGAAGAGUAUAUGCGAGAGAGGGGGAACGUGCCAGAGAGCAUUUGCGAGAGAGCUAAAGACAGCGACGAUGUGGGAUGAAGUAAGGUUUUUUUCGGUCGUUGUUCACAGUGGGAUGAAAGCUUCGAAUUAUUUGUUUUAAAUCAAAAGGCGUAAUGAUUGAAGGAAAACAUUUAUUUUUUAUUAGGGUAAUUUUUAAUGACACAUAAUUUAUGUCAUUAAUUAACAAUGCGAAAAUUUUGUCAAGAAAACUCAAUUUGUGUCACGAAAAAUUUUGUAUUUUUAUUUUUAACGACACAUUUUAUUCCCUCAUGUCCCUUUUUCUUGAUUUCAAGUGUCAUUAAAACUUAUUGUUGAAUAAGAAAUUUUGAGACCAAUCACAAGUUGCCACAUCAUUUAUUAAGUUAAUGAUGAAAAGUACAAAUAAUUAAAUUUGGGACUAAUUAAAAUUGACAUAUGCUCCAAAUUAAAGAGUUGAAAAUAAAUAAAAUGGUCAUUCUAAUAAUGCCACAUGUUUUCAUAUUAAUAGUUGGAUUAAGUUAAUCAUUUUAGUUCAAUUAAAUAUUAUUUACUUGGACUAAGUUCAAUUAAGCCCAAAAAAUAAGCUUAAUUGAGCCCAAAGACUAAAUAUAACCUAAGUCCAUAUGGUUGAGCCCAUGCGUCUGGUCCAUGGACCAACUAGGUUCAAACCCAUAAAGCCCACCAGUGAACUCUAUAAAUAGAGGAAUUCUCCUCAUUUGUAGGGGUUGGAAAAUAUUGACUCUAGAAGAUCCAGAGAGAAUUCUUCAAAGAGCUAGAAGACUCCCUAACUCCUGAAGUUGACCAUCCUCGAAGAUUGAAGCUUCUUUAAAGAUACAAGCUUUCUUCCAAGGCUUCAACUUCAAGAACAUCACGUGCUUCGCUUCCUCCAAAUCAAGCUGAAGCAUCCAGUUGAGAGAGAAUCAGAGGAUCAAAUUCUAGAGAUUGAACCGCAUCGCAUCAAAUCAACAAAAAUACAACAUCAACUCAAGUUCAAGUCCACGAAUUAAAUUUCUCCAGAAAUCUCGUGCGAACAAAUUGGCACGCCCAGUGGGACCAUCUCUACCUCUCAUCUCUCUCUCAUCAUCUAGAUCUACAAGCAAAUCAAUGGCAUCAAAGAAAGUUGCAUCCAAAUCUUCAGCUGCAAGCGACACCUACACGGGACCUAUCACCUGUAGUCGUUCCAAGGGGAUCAUCCAAGGGCAAGACCAAGGUUCCGCCAUCGCGCAGAGCAUCCUGAAGCAAUUAAUGGAAUCUCCUAAAGCUGGAAUUGUCAUCAAGGAAAAUCCUCUAUAUAAUGAUUAUGAUUCUGCCUCUAGCAGGUCACUGAAAGAAGCACACCCAGAUGUGAUGUCCGUCAUGAUGGCUGAUGUAGCAGUCGAGACUGCCAUGGCGGAGAUGGAGAGAAAAUUAAUCUCCUGAUGAAGGUUGUUGAUGAACGAGACCACGAAAUUACAGCUUUAAAGGAGCAGAUGCAGACUCGUGAAACUCUGAAUCGAGUCAAACUUGUCGUUAAAGUUGAUGACAAAGGGAAGAACGUGGUACAAGAAAAUCAGCCACAACAACAAUCAACUUCUGUGGCUUCUCUCUCGGUUCAACAAUACAAGAUAUGAUCACAAACUCCAUCAGAGCACAAUAUGGAGGCCCAUCUCAGACUUCUUUCAUGUACUCUAAACCAUACACCAAAAGAAUCGACAACUUGAGAAUGCCGCUUGGAUAUCAGCCUCCAAAAUUCCAGCAGUUUGACGGAAAGGCAAUCCAAAACAGCACGUUGCUCACUUCGUCGAAACAUGUGAGAAUGCAGGAUCAAGAGGAGAUCAACUAGUCAGACAAUUUGUUCGAAGCUUGAAAGGAAAUGCUUUUGAAUGGUAUACUGAUCUGGAGCCAGAAAGCAUUGAGAGUUGGGAACAACUAGAAAAGGAGUUUCUCAAUCGCUUCUACAGCACCAGGCGUACUGUAAGCAUGAUGGAGCUUACAAAUACGAAACAAAGAAAGGGAGAACCAGUCAUCGACUACAUCAAUAGAUGGAGAGCUCUAAGUCUUGACUGUAAAGAUCGGCUCACCGAACUGUCGGCUGUAGAAAUGUGCACCCAAGGCAUGCACUGGGGACUCCUCUACAUUUUGCAGGGAAUAAAGCCCCGCACAUUUGAAGAACUGGCAACUCGAGCUCAUGAUAUGGAGUUGAGCAUCGCCAGUAGAGGAACUAAAGAUUUUCUUGUUCCUGAAGUAAAGAAAGAUAAGAAAGAGAUGAAAGGUGCUGAAAAGAUAGUGAAAAGCACCGCGAAAGAAUCUAUGGUCGUAAACACAACCCCGCUGAAAUUCUCCAAAGGAAAGGAAGCGAGGGUUGAAAAGAAGGAUGAUGGAAGCGAAAGGCGACGUCUGACUUUAAAAGAAAGGCAGGAAAAAGUUUACCCAUUUCCUGAUUCAGAUAUCGCUGACAUGCUAGAGCAACUACUAGAGAAGCAGCUGAUCCAGCUGCCAGAAUGUAAACGACCUGAGCAAGCAGGAAAGGUAGAUGAUCCCAAUUACUGCAAGUAUCAUCGGGUCAUCAGUCAUCCAGUAGAGAAAUGCUUCGUGCUGAAGGAGCUAAUUCUAAGGUUGGCUCGUGAGAAAAGGAUUGAGCUAGAUUUGGAGGAAGUAGCUCAAACAAACCACGCUGAAGUGACGAUAAUGUCUGAGGCUUCUUCGUCGAGAUUGAUUUUUGAGCAAAGGAAAAGCUUGGUCCAGUUCGGGACCUUUGAGCCUAUAGUUGUCCAAUUCUUUCAGGAAAUCUCAUACGAGGAUCCUCAAGGAGAGAAAAGACCAAUCGAAGAAGACGAUGAAGGGUGGAUAGUGGUGACCCACCGAAAGAAAAGACAGUCGAUCCCGACCCAAAGAGAGUCUCGCUCUUACCAAAACUAUAGAAGAGGAAAUAAGACUCAAAAGAAUAAGAAAAAGAAGAAGACUCAUAAGCUUAAGCUCGUACAUAAUGAAGACAUGAAUUUCUCUCGACCUCAACGCUUAGUGACCUUGCAGACUUCCUUCCAAAAAGCUUCCUUUGUGAUCAUCAGGAUGAAGACCCAGAAGUCGUUGCGUGUCAUGCUAUCAACACAACGGAGGAAGAAAUAAUCCCUCCAAGAUCACUAGAAGGAGAGGGAGUAUCAAAAGACCUUUCAAGGUUUAAUGUAGAGGAUCUAUUAUCACUUCCUCAAGAGACCAAAACCAUCCUUAUUGAUGCAUUGCUAAAUUCAAGAGCAUCAAGUUCGAGUACUCCGACUAUGACAUAUGAGAGUGGUUCUUAUUGUAUGUCUAUAGACUUCUCAGAUGAGGAUUUGUUGUUGGGAUCUAAACUUCAUAAUAGACCUUUGUAUGUUUCUGGAUACGUUCGAGAACAGAGAGUCGAUCGAAUCCUCAUUGAUAAUGGCUCAGCUGUCAACAUAAUGCCAAAGUCGACUAUGUGGCAAUUAGGCAUCUUGAUGGACGAGCUCUCAAAUAGCAAGCUAGUAAUUCAAGGUUUUAACCAAGGUAGCCAAAGAGCAAUAGGCAUGAUACGGUUAGAACUCAUAAUUGGCGACCUAAAGGCCAGUGCAUUGUUUCAUGUCAUAGACUCAAGGACUACUUACAAGUUGUUACUAGGGCGUCCUUGGAUUCAUGGAAACGGAGUAGUAACUUCAACACUGCAUCAGUGCUUCAAAUUUUAUCAGGACGGUGUAAAGAAGGUUGAAGCCGACUCUAAUCCAUUCUCAGAAGCUGAGUCUCACUUCGCAGAUGCAAAGUUUUAUUCAAAGAAUAAUAAUAUUUUAGAAGUUUUGCCUGCAGAAACCCCUCUUACAAAAGGAGAAGAUAAUUCACAACUGAAAUCACUCGCAACCACAGAACCACAUGAAAGUGCGAGAACCUUUAACUCUGGAAAGGGUGAAGCAUACACUAGCAGCACAAAGGGUAUGAUCUUGAAGGAUGAAAAUGCUGCAAACACACCAGUUUUGCGUUAUGUCCCUCUGUCAAGGCGCAAGAAAGGCGAAUCACCAUUCAUGGAGUCUCCAAAAGGUUUGAAAGUUGGUGACAUCGAAAUCAUAAAAGAAAGCUUCACUACACCACUAACUAAGAUAGCGAAGCAGGAGGUAAAGGUAGAUCUGGUGGAAGCAAACUUGCCCCAAAGGCGAACGAAAGACGGAUUCGACCCCAAGGCUUACAAAUUGAUGGCGAAAGCAGGUUAUGACUUCACAGCUCACACCGAGUUUAAAAGCUUGGAAAUUCAUGACCGACCUGAGCUCUCCUCAACUCAAAAGAAGCUUCUACGGAAGGACAUUCUAUACCCGUGUCGAGAAAAGGACUCGGAUACAAGUCGCCAGAACCGAUCCGUAUAACUAAAAAGGGAAGGAAAAAGUGGUUGACAUCAAUCAUAUAACUAUAGAGGAUGACAAUACUGACGUAAAAGAAGGUGAUAAUCAGAGAAUCUCAGUAUUUGAUCGAAUUAGACCAUCUGUUGCACGUCCCGUAGUAUUUGAAAGGCUAAGCAUGACAGAGGCAGAAAGAGAAAGGCUCCAGUCAGUACCAAACCUUGAGAGACAUUCGGUCUUUCGAAGGCUAACUACGACUCCCAUAAAGGAAGAAAGCACAUGCCAUGCCUUGACAACUACAAGACCAUCAGCCUUUGAAAGGCUAGGUGUGUCUAAAAAAAAAAUGUACAAGCACCCCGUGCUCCGAUUUUUAAUCAUCUCGGGGAUAAAGGAUCACACGACAACAUUGAUUCCAACAUAGCAAAGAAGAAGGAACCAAUGUCUCGUGUGAAAGUUUGGCGUCGAAUUAAGCAUACAGAUGUCGAUAAUUAUCGUAGUAAGAAGUUUCCUUGCGAGACAAAGGAAAAUGGAGAAAUUCAUAGCAACGUUCCUUCUCGCAUGAAAAGAAAAACUUUUGUUACUCUCAAUACAAGUCAAGGUUCGUUAAAGGUAAAAAGACAUGAUGUUAUACUAACGAAUCCUGAAAAAGAAGGGUCGGAACAAGGGGAAGGUGAAACUUCAUGUCAUCACAUCACCAUUAUUGAGGAAUCAGAGACUGGAACUCAUGAAGAAGACGCAGAAAAUGCCCCACAAAGUUUAGAGGAUGGUGGUCAAUCUACUGUAGACGAGCUAAAAGAGGUGAACCUUGGUACAAUAGAGGAACCACGUCCGACUUUCAUUAGUGCGUCCCUCUCUAACGAAGAGGUGGAUAAAUAUAUGAGUUUGCUCACCGAAUACAGGGACAUCUUUGCGUGGUCGUACAAGGAGAUGCCAGGACUUGACCCAAAAGUAGCAGUCCAUCAUCUUGCAAUUAAACCGGAUAUCGACCGAUUAAACAAGCACAACGACGUUUUCGACCGGAGCUUAUCCCUCAAAUCGAGGUGGAAGUCAACAAGUUGAUCGAAGCAGGAUUCAUUCGCGAGGUCAAAUAUCCAACGUGGAUAGCAAACAUUGUCCCUGUUAGAAAAAAAAAUGGACAACUUCGCGUUUGUGUAGACUUUCGCGAUCUGAAUAAUGCAUGCCCUAAAGAUGAUUUUCCCUUGCCCAUCACCGAAAUCAUGGUUGAUGCAACUACUGGACACGAGGCGUUGUCGUUUAUGGAUGGGUCGUCUGGAUAUAAUCAAAUACGGAUGGCCCUCUCAGAUGAAGAAAUGACAGCUUUCAGAACUCCAAAGGGAAUAUACUGUUACAAGGUGAUGCCCUUUGGAUUGAAAAAUGCCGCGCUACUUAUCAACGUGCCAUGCAGAAAGUGUUUGAUGAUAUGUUGCACAGGUAUGUUGAAUGUUAUGUUGAUGAUCUUGUAGUCAAAACAAAGAGACGACAAGACCAUUUGAAGGAUCUAAAAGUCGUGUUUGAUCGCUUGCGAAAAUAUCAGCUAAGGAUGAACCCUCUCAAGUGUGCGUUUGGUGUAACUUCAGGAAAAUUUCUUGGCUUCAUUGUAAGGCAUCGAGGGAUCGAAAAUAGACCAGUCCAAGAUUGAUGCCAUUCAGAAGAUGUCAAGACCUAAAAGUUUGCAUGACCUAAGAAGUCUCCAAGGACGACUGGCUUACAUCCGAAGGUUCAUCUCUAACUUGGCCGGUCGGUGUCAACCUUUUCAAAAGUUGAUGAGAAAAGGAGAAAAUUUUGUGUGGGAUGAAGCUUGUCAGAACGCUUUUGAUAGCAUAAAGAAAUACUUGCUUACUCCCCCAGUGCUGGGAGCUCCAGUACCUGACAAACCACUAAUAUUGUACAUUGCUGCACAAGAAAGGUCCUUAGGAGCAUUACUGGCACAAGAAGAGGUAAAGGGAAAGGAGCGUUCUCUCUACUAUCUAAGCAGAACAUUAAUUGGGGCUGAAGUUAACUAUUCUCCUAUCGAAAAGAUGUGUCUUGCACUUUUCUUUGCCAUUGAUAAGUUGAGGCAUUAUAUGCAGGCCUUCACGGUUCAUCUAGUGGCAAAAGCAGACCCUAUAAAGUAUGUUCUAUCCAGGCCAAUCAUCGCUGGACGCUUAGCCAAAUGGGCGGUUCUACUCCAACAAUAUGACAUUGUCUAUAUUCCCCAAAAGGCGAUAAAAGGACAAGCGCUAGCAGACUUUUUAGCAGACCACCCAAUUCCUUCGGAUUGGAAGUUAUGUGAUGACCUACCAGACGAUGAGGUUUUCUUCACAGAAGUUAUGGAACCUUGGACUAUGUACUUCGAUGGUGCAGCUCGAAGAAGUGGUGCGGGGGCAGGCAUUGUCCUCAUUUCUCCUGAGAAGCAUAUGUUGCCUUAUAGCUUUGCACUUUCCGAAUUGUGUUCAAACAAUGUGGCUGAAUAUCAGGCUUUGAUAAUUGGCCUUCAAAUAGCAUUAGAAAUCGGAGUGUCAUUCAUAGAGGUCUAUGGUGAUUCAAAAUUGAUAAUCAAUCAACUCUCGCUUCAAUAUGACGUGAAACAUGAAGACUUGAAGCCAUAUUUUGCUUAUGCUCGACAAUUGAUGGAAAAGUUUGAUAAUGUGAUGUUAGAACAUGUCCCUAGAGUAGAAAAUAAGAGAGCGGAUGCAUUGGCAAAUUUAGCCACGGCCUUGACCAUGCCAGAUGAUGUAACUCUGAACAUACCACUUUGUCAACGAUGGAUUAUACCCCCAGUUAGGCCUGAAUGUCAGGAAGUGAACAUGGCAACAUCCUAUUUGAUUGAUGAAGAAGAUUGGCGUCAACCCAUCAUAGAGUAUCUUGAACAUGGAAAGCUUCCAAAGGAUUCUCGUCAUAAAAUUGAGAUACGAAGAAGGGCAGCACACUUCAUUUAUUACAAGGGAACUUUAUAUCGCCGUUUUCUUGAAGGGCUCUUCCUUCGAUGUCUCGGAAAGGAAGAUUCGGUAAAAGCUCUAAAGGAAGUACAUGCAGGUGUUUGUGGAGCACAUCAAUCGGGACCAAAGCUUCAAUUCCAGCUAAGAAGAAUGGGCUACUACUGGCCUAAGAUGAUCCAAGAUUCAAUAGACUAUGUGAAGAAGUGUGAGCCUUGUCAAUACCAUGCAAACUUCAUACACCAACCUCCAGAACCUCUUCAUCCAACUGUGGCUUCUUGGCCUUUUGAGGCUUGGGGACUCGAUCUGGUUGGCCCCAUUACACCAAAAUCAUCAGCAGGACAUUCUUAUAUCCUAGCAGCAACAGACUAUUUUUCAAGGUGGGCUGAGGCCAUUUCAUUGAGAGAAGCCAAGAAGGAGAACGUGGCAGACUUUAUUCGAACACACAUCAUCUAUCGAUACGGUAUUCCACAUCGAAUCGUGACGGAUAAUGGAAAGCAAUUCUCCAAUAGUAUGAUGGACAAGUUAUGUGAAAAAUUCAAAUUCAAGCAAUAUAAGUCAUCCAUGUACAACGCAGCUGCGAAUGGACUAGCAGAAGCAUUCAACAAAACAUUGUGUAAUCUUUUAAAGAAAAUUGUCUCCAAGUCAAAGAGGGAUUGGCAAGAAAAGAUCGGCGAGGCAUUAUGGGCUUAUCGGACGACUCAUCGCACCCCUACAGGGGUUACACCAUAUUCGCUUAUUUACGGUGUGGAGGCUGUCCUUCCUCUCGAAAGGGAAAUUCCGUCACUAAGAAUGGCAGUACAAGAGGGAUUGACUACCGAAGAUAAUGUGAAGUUACGUCUUCAAGAAUUAGAAGCACUUGACGAAAAGCGAUUAGAGGCUCAGCAAGCAUUGGAAUGUUAUCAAGCGAGAAUGUCCAAAGCUUUUGAUAAACACGUUAAACCUCGCUCCUUUCAAGUCGGUGAUCUAGUACUUGCCGUAAGGAGACCGAUCAUCACAACAAGGCAUACAGGAAAUAAGUUCACACCUAAAUGGGAUGGACCUUACAUUGUUAAAGAAGUUUAUACAAAUGGCGCAUACAAGAUCGUUGAUCAAGACGGACUACGAAUUGGCCCAAUCAAUGGUAAAUUUCUUAAAAAAUUUAUGCUUAAUUUUGUUAGGUAAAAAAAAAAAAAAAAAAGUUGAACUACGUUAUGACUUGAUCCCUAUAUUAUAAAGGGUACGUAGGCAGCUUAAGGAAAACCUUAAGCCCAGUCCAGCAAAAAAAAAGUUGAACUACGUUAUGACUUGAUCCCUAUAUUAUAAAGGGUACGUAGGCAGCUUAAAGAAAACCUUAAGCCCAGUCCAGCAAAAAAAAAAAGUUGAACUAUGUUAUGACUUGAUCCCUAUAUUAUAAAAGGCAGCUUAAAGGAAACUUUAAGUUCAGUCCAAUAAAAAAAAAAGGAAGAAAGACAAAUUACAUUUAAUAGAAAAUAUGAUGAGGAGUGGAACAAUGAAAGAAUAAUUUUUUUUUUAUUAUUAUUAUAAACUUCUAGCAAAAAAAAAUUAAAAAGGCAUAAGUAGAUAAAUAAGAGAAAGCAGAGAAUCAUGGAGUCCAUUUAAAGUUCUUCAGCUCCUCUAGUGUGCUUUCUAAAGAUUCACGAAGUGUUGAUAGCAUUUUAGCAUCAAUAUCUCCAACGAUCGGGGCACAUUCGAGUUUGUCAAUUUCCUCACAAGUCUUCGAAAUCUCAUGUUGCUUCUGCUUCAGCUCCAGGUCGUUCUUAAAAAUUAUUCCAGAAAGUUUAGCAGACUCAACCCGCACCAUCUUUAGUUUUGCCUCUAGUUUAGCCUCCUUAGCGGACAGUCGUGUAAGACGACGUUUAGCAGUGUUGGUCUCUGCUAAUAUACGAUUCUCAUCAACUCGCAGAGUCUUCACAAAACCUUUUGCCUCCGUUAGCUGAACAUCCUUAGUUGAUUGGAGUGGAAAUGAGGAAUGUAUUUGAUUAUGGUUCUCGACACCUUGGAAGUAACCAUUCACAAGCUCCCUCAAAACAAUAAGGUUGUCGCUGCCGUUAGUCGCAAUCGCAUCAAAGAUCUUAUGCAUUUCUGGUUCAAGACUACUCAGUCGUUCAAAAGGGGUACGAAUGAUCUUCUGUCGUAGGUUUUCCCAUAAGGUUAUGGCAGCCUGUCGUCGGAGGUCAGAAAUUAAGCUGUCAGCACAAAAAUGAGAAAUCUCAGAAACUGUAAUAGGCUCUGUGCCUUCCACUUUUUGAGGAGGUCCCUUGAUCACAGGAGGACAAGCAGACACAAUAUUUGCGCCUAUAGGUUCCUUAGAGUUCCCAUUAUAAGAAAGUACAACGUUACAGUCUUCUAGAUUCAGCAUCAACUCUAGGGUAUCUUCGAUGUGUAGGUCAUGAUCACCUAAAGAAUACUACAAAAUAAUAUUAACAACAAGAAAUAAGGGGAGUAAAGGAGAGAAAAUACAAUCAAUAAAUAAAUAAAAUUGGGAGACGAAAAGAAACCAUGGGGGAAGGGACAUCGAAAAAUUGUGCAGCAUCAGGGACCCGAAUAGGAGACUCUUCAUCAUCGAUCGACUGUUUGUUAGGCUUCUUGGGUCUCUUCCAAUGGCGAUCAUCAUUGCUGCUUUGACUGUCCUCAAUACGUUUAGAAGGAUGCUUGGUAGCUAUCGAUAAGCGGUUGUCCUUACCCAUAUUGUCAAUACCACCUUUAAUAAGAUGUUUAAAUCGUGUAGAAAGAGACAAAUUAUCCACCAAGCGUUUUGUCCCUCCCUCAAUUUUCUCCACAAGUCGUUCAUCAGUUUCAUCGGAGCAUAUCUUCUGAUUUCCACUACCAAAAUUAUGUUCAAUCUUUUUUGUGGUUUUGGAUUUGAUGUGAGGGGGAGUAGGACGAUCUAUCAAAUGUUGUACUCCUUCUUGGAGGUAAUCACCGUGUUUUGCAAGCCACCAGACCUUAUAAUGAGAGGUAACAUGUGUGUCUGGAUUAGGGGCAGACACAGGAAGAUAUACUUGGGAAAGUGUAUUCUCGCGAAUACAAAUCAUCCAACAAUAUCGUACGUUAAAAAAAUUGGCUUCGGGAAUUUCUUCACCUAAGUCAUAUGGCACGUCUUGAUAAAAUCCAAAUGGUCGGCUAAAGCGACAAGGACUAUAAGGCUCAAUAACUGUGGAGGAUCCACAUUGCGAGGAUAGAAAACAAGAGCAAAUGCUUAUGAAAAAUGAAGCAUUCUAACUAAUUAACUCUCCAUCAUCCGUUAAGAGUUCGUCCUUAUUCUUUGUUGGAAGACACGCAUGCCAUGACACAUACUUUCCCUUGUGGAUAUGUGUUCGAGCCUCAAGAUUAGUAUAAUAUUUGGCCCCACCUUCACCAGAAAAUUCAACCAUGCGAGGACCCCUAAGACUCCUAGGGGCUUUAUAAUGAGUGUUGAAGUAAAGAGCAAGCCACCCAUGGACAUAGUGAAGAGGAAAACAGGCAUUUGAAUAACCAAGUGAUGAAGUAGAAUCAUGAACUUGGCGUAGGCCACUAUAAAUAUUAGCUAAAACAGGGACGGCAAGGCUAAAUGUGUAGCCUUCCGCCAUGAGGCUAGCAACCUUAAAAACCUCCGGACGAAGGGAAAGUUGCUUAUCAGGGAACACAAACACACAUAGCCAACAAGAGAGAAAUGCCGCUAGAUAGGUUUUGUCCCUAUGAUCAUCAGUGACGCUUAAGUCAAGGAACACUUUGAGUUCAGCUUUAGACCAGUCAGGACGUCUGAUGGGAAUUCCAUCUGGAUUAUGAGUUGAGCGAGGGCGAGAAGUCUUUUUAGGCUUUCGAGGAGGCGGUUUCGAAUACUUUACCUCAGAUCGUGUAACCCAAAAAGAGAUCCAUUCACUUACAGUGAUUUGAGAGUGAUCCAUGCGUUGAGAAACAAUGCGGUAAUAGGCUGCAAAUAAAUGCUCACAACUUCUUGGACAUACAUCAGGUGAUCCUAUUAAGUCUUGGUGGCAAGGAAUGCUUUCUUCAUAAAAUCUACCUUUAAUCGGGAGUCCUCCUAGUAUCCAUAAGUCCCAUAAGGAGAUGGACAUCUCACCAGCUGAGGUGUGAAGAGUGUUUGUUGAAGGACACCAUGCCUCGCAGAAAGCCCGAUCAAUGUCACUGUUGCGAUCAUAUGUAUAUAGGGAAGCCAUCACAGCAUUAAAUAGGGAGGCUCGCUUGAGUACUGCCGUAUUUCUAGCAACAACGAGCUCUAACCACUCCCAAUAAUGAGGAAGAUAGUAAAAUUCUCCAUGUACCUUGAGCACAUUUCCCCAACGAAUUUUUGGGUCGUUUAUAAUUCGACGACCCAACGUUGAUUCUGGAUCCUCAUUUGGAGGCUUGUUGUGAAUCGAAGACUCCAGAAACCAAGAUUUUAAAGAUGAAUUUGGAUUUACAAACCGUUCCUUGGACCAUUUAGGCAAAAAGAUAAAAUUGUCCUCGGGUAUUUGAGAGUCCAUAAUAUUCUCAUAUGUCCCCUCUCUCACAGGAAGAAUGAUCCCUUCCUCUAAAGAUUGAUCUACGUCCUUCAGGAUAAUUAAACACCUUUUGGUCGAGUCAGAAUACUCAGUGAAGUGCACCAUGAUGAAAAGAAGAGUUCCUGCAAAAUAAUAAUAAUAAUAAGAAGAAGAAGAAAUAGAAAAAAAAAAAAAAACCAAAACAAAAAAAAAAAAAAAAAAAAAAAAAAAAAAAAAAAAAAAAAAAAAAAAGAAAGAAGAAAAAAAAAAGAAAGAAAGAAGAAAAAAGGGGGGGGAAGAAAAAGCAAAUGGAGAUUGAAGCCCGACGAUGACAGAGUCGAUCUCUCCUACUAGGGCGAUAGAUCUGACGGCAAAAGCCCGAUCGUCCCUAGAAGAAGCUCAACAAAGUCAUUUCUGCAAACGAAGAUCGAAGCCCGACGAUGACAGAGUCGAUCUCUCCUACUAGGGCGAUAGAUCUGACGGCAAAAGCCCGAUCGUCCCUAGAAGAAGCUCAACAAAGUCAUUUCUGCAAACGAAGAUUGAAGCCCGACGAUGACAGAGUCGAUCUCUCCUACUAGGGCGAUAGAUCUGACGGCAAAAGCCCGAUCGUCCCUAGAAGAAGCUCAACAAAGUCAUUUCUGCAAACGAAGAUUGAAGCCCGACGAUGACAGAGUCGAUCUCUCUAACUAGGGCGAUAGAUCUGACGGCAAAAGCCCGAUCGUCCCUAGAAGAAGCUCAACAAAGUCAUUUCUGCAAACGAAGAUCGAAGCCCGACGAUGACAGAGUCGAUCUCUCCUACUAGGGCGAUAGAUCUGACGGCAAAAGCCCGAUCGUCCCUAGAAGAAGCUCAACAAAGUCAUUUCUGCAAACG